ACGGCCGACAUCUUCCUACUUCCUCUUAUCUCUAUAUCUUCUUCUUCAUGUUGAAACCAUGGUGGCUUCCUUGGUGGCCGGAGUUUCCAUAACAAAUUCGUAAUGAUUUGUUUUAAGCCUUGGUUUAGUGAUCCAAAAACUGAACUUUUCCAAAUAAUUUGUUUGGAAAAGAGAAAGCCGCCGUAGUUCGAGAACAACGGAAAUACACAGACAACAUAAAGCUUGAUGAAACCAUGCUUAGAUGCCAGAAGAAAACACUCCCGUAGAGAGAGACAGACACAUCCAACUUUUGGAAUCAGAUCUGCAUAUGAACAUGAUUCGUCAACAGAUUGCAGAGAUACUCCACUGGUUCUGAUGAAAAAUUGAUUGCCGCAACAAUCCAAAACCAAAAGGAAGAUCGGACGAUUGAUGAUCAACAGCCAUCACCAUUAAUAACUUGUAAGAAAUGAGAAAAAGUUAAAGGAUAAGAGCCACCGGCAAACGCCAGCAGCGGCCCCAUAAAAUUUUGGGUUGAUUUCUUUGGUGAUCCGGGAUUUAUUUUUCUUAUGAAUGUUUUUUGGGGUCAUGUCUAUUUAUUUUGAAUUUUGUAUAUUAGUUUUCGUGGGCGACUUUUCCCUUAAGUCAACGUGUAAUGUUGACCGUUGGUUCUUGAGACGAAUAGCUAGUUUAUUUGUAUUAAUUCUGAAUCAAUAAUUUUUAUUUUCUUGUUUAUCAUAUAGACAUAUACUAUUAGUUUUCCAUUCGUCUUAAUGAUUGAUCAGAAAAUACAGCACUAAAUUCCUGUUUAUAACAAAUUAACAACUGAUAUUACUUGUUUUCUGUAUAUUUUAUGUGAAACUAUCAAAAUAAAACACACACAAAAAGAAAAACAGCACUUCAGAAAAUGUUCAUCCAUUUCUUACUGAUGAUAUAUAUUCUCUCGGACAAUAGUUUCCACUGUCUCUCAACCAUAAUUGGCCAAACAUGAACGAGUUACCAUUUGUGGUUCCAAUCAUCUUCUACUAACCAAAGCGUAAUGAUUGGUUCCACAACUCAAUAUCUACGAAGUCAGAGUAGAAAUAAGAUUGUAAUCCAUGUUCACUAUUCGAACGAUCAUCAACAUACUCUUUGCUCUCUUUUUUGGGAUUUAUUAGAAGAAAAUAUUUUUUUAUUGGACACACAUUCUUUGCUCUAAUCCAUGAUUUCACUCCAAAUGGGUAACAUGAAUUUCAAAUCUAUGUUUUUUUUUUUGAAUUUUAAUGUAUCAACUAUAUAAAUUGAAUAUUCGUGCAGACCGGUUUAGAUUCAUUAAUUUUUGGUUUUGUUUUUAGUUUGGGUUUACUAGAAGAAAUUAAGUAUUCUUUUCAGUUGUGAUUCUGAAAAAUAUUUCAAAGUUUAAUUGGUUAAUUUUUUAUGGUUCAGUUAUGUUCGUGAGUUUUCAUGUAAAAGAAUAUAUAAUAUAUAAAAAUAAUGUAUAUAUAACGUUCAUCCCGCGUAAAACAUGGAUCUUAACGUAGUUAUAAAGUAUUUAAUAUAUACAAAACGAAACACAUAUAUGUCUAAUUGAAUUUUAUUUUAAAAAACUAAGAUUCUAAACCCUAAACCAAAGACAUUCAUGACUAACGACUUACAUUCACUCAUAUAUGAUGAAAAAAAAUUAAAUUUUAGUAAUUAAAAAUGUUUAUAAUUACAUGGUUUCAUUUUCCUCAUCAAAAUACCUUUUUAGAAGUUUUUUUUUUGUCAGCAAUUUUUAACUUUAAUUUGAUAAAAUUAUUUUAUAUUUUAGAUUUAUAAUGUUUAACCGUGAAAUCUAAAAUUUUACUAAAAUUUGAACGGGAAAUAGAAGACUUUCCUAUAAAGUCUUCCAUAAGUAUUUCAGGAAAAUUUCUAAUGCAUUAUAUAUUAGAAGAUUUCUUAGGAAAUCAUUCGGGUAGUCUUCCAAAAAUAAUAAUUAGGGGAAAAACUUAAAUUCUACUCAAAUUUAAUCGAGAAUUAGAAAACUUUGCUGUGAAGUUUUCUAGAAAAUCUUCUAAGAACUCUUCUAAACUCCACUACAAGAAAACAAAAAAUUAGCGACGAAAUGUAACGAAGAAAAUAAGUCCUCAUAAAUGUACGUCUUAUUUACGAGAACCUUACGAGGAAAAAACAAAUCAACGCAAUUUCGUCAUAAACUAACGACAAUAAAAUUUCGUCAUAAACUAACGACAAUAAAAUUUCGUCGUUAAAACGAUGCAACUUAAUGUGGUUUUUACGAGGAAAACAUAUGUCGUCGUAAAGUGGAUGUAAAUAUAACAAGAAAUCUACGACGAAAUAUUUUAUGUCUAUUUAGCGUCGACAUCUCGAGUGCACCAACUUUUUAGUUUUAAACACGUUUUUUGUUUGGGCUACCUAACUAUAUUUCCUCGUAAAUUCCUAGUAAAAUUUCACCCACCAGUUUCGAAAACUUCCUAUAAAUAUGACGUUUGUGUUUCAUUUGAAGCACACCAAAUUGAAAGAAAAAAACUAUAAAACAUGAGAGAAAAAAAAAUGUCGGGUGAUCGAAAUAUAUUCGAAUUGUGGAGGUGGAUGUAUCACAGAGAUACUAACGGCAAAGUGACGAAAGAAUAUCUCGAAAGGCUGGAGACAUUUAUGCAUUAAGUAUAUUCUACACCGCUCGCUCAUGAAAGCGGUAAGAUGUUCUGUCCUUAUCGGAAAUGCAACAAUUCAAAAUUGGAUACUCGUGAAAAUGUAUGGAAGCAUGAUAUCUUGCACAUUUGCAUUAUUUUAACUCUUCAUUCUUGCAUGUUUUGAUCAUUUAGAUUAGGGAUUAUGCAUUUUAGUUUCCUUUUUGCAUUGCAUAAGUCUUUAUCAGGUGUUGGAGUGUCCAUUGGAGUUCUUGGAGUUACUUGUAAGCAUUUGGGAUCAAAAAGGGAGUGGAAAAUGUUGUUUGAGCGAGUAGAUCACCAGAGCGGGUUACGGGAGCGACCUACGACCCCCGCUCCAGACAAAACGAAGACAACGCGACCUCUUGCACCGGUGUGAGGCACCCGCUCCGAGCUCAACCUUUCGUCGACAACUUUUGAGAAGUGGAGCGACCUGGUGGAGAGACGUCAUGAACCCGCACGCGAUUUGAAGACGUGAAGAUGGCAUUUAGAGCGACGUCCCGCAGCGGGGUGACUAACCCGCUCCAGAUGUGGAAAGACCUGGUGGAGUGACGUCAUGAACCCGCGCGCGAUUUGAAGACGUGAAGCAAACAUAUUGGGGCGACGUUCCGGAGCGAGGUGACUAACCCGCUCCAGAUGGGGAGCGACCUGGCGGAGCGACCUACUGUACCCGCGGCGUGUCUUUUCUUAUGAUCGAAAAUUUAUGUUUUAUUUGGGCCUUUCAGGUUGUUGACCAAUCCCAUUAGGUUUUAGAGGUCAUAUAAAUACUCUCUAAACCUAAUGUUACGAUCUUAUCUUAUUUUCUAUCUAAUCACAAAUAACUUUUAGGUGAAAGAUCUAAUCUUGAUCAUUAUCUUUUGGAAUUGCUUAGUUAUAUUGAUCACUAAUCAUGAUUAAGACCAAAUCAUUAUUGAUUCUUGGGUUUAUCAUGAAGAUUAGUGGGUAAUCAGCUUUGGAUUCAUGGGUUAGAGAGACUAAGGGUGAUUAAGCUAGAUCUAAGGUGUUUUAGUAUAGAUCCAUCUUGUUCCUUGCUAGUAGAGUGCUUUAUUGCAAUUUUAGAGUUGACCUCUCUAAAGUUGAGCUCUAGGCAUUUCAUACCCGAAAGGUGUUUGAUGAAAUGUCUGAACCAACUCUCCUAAGCUUUUAACAUUCUUUACCAAAUAAAUUUGUUGUUAAAGGUGUUAAGAUGGCUAUGAGACUUGAUAUUAAUGAUUGCUUAGAUAAUAUUCAAUCAAAGAAAUUUGAUGCUUGAGUUAUCUUAGUGAAUGAGCAUUCAUCUAGAGAUAAAGUUUGUUUAGGAUUGUGUCUAGGUCUAAGGUUGACAGAUUGAUUGAAAGGUACCACCUUUAGAUUGAAACUUGAUCACCCAAGGUCAAUUCCCUUAGCCCAUGAGUUCUUCUUUAUCUAUUUGUUUGAAAGUUGCUGUUAAGUUGUUCUUGAAACUUGUUAGAUUGAUUGAAUUGCCUCAUCUUAUUGAUUGCAUUUAGCUUAAUUGAAAACUUGUAUUCUCUUUGAUUCAAAACUCUUAGAAAUAGAUUGACAUCCUAAUUACUAUAAUGAUUUGAUUAUUGGACCCUUGAAAAGUCCAUUUCAAAGCAUUUAAUAAAUAGAGGUUUCACGCCACAUUACUAUAUCUGGUUUCAACAUGGAGAAUGUUAUGAUUAUGUGAAUGAAGCUAGUAGUAGUAAUAGCAAUUUUUAGGAUGAACCGGUUGAUCAUUUGCAUAAUGAACAUAGUUUCAAUCAGGAGGUGCAGAUGGUAGAUCAUGAUAGAGUUCAUGAUAUGGUAGCUAAUGCAUUUGUAGCUCAUGAUGAAGUUGAAGAACCUAACUUAGAUGCAAAAAAGUUUUAUGAAAUGUUAGAUGCUGCGAAUCAGCCACUUUACAGUGGUUGUAGAGAAGGUUUCACUAAAUUGCCGUUGGCUGCUAGAAUGAUGAAUAUUAAAACUGAUCACAAUCUACCUGAAAGUUGCAUGGAUGCAUGGGCAGACUUGUUUAAAGAGUAUGUGCCAGAAGACAAUGUGUCAGCUGAUUCUUUUUAUGAGAUUCAGAAACUGGUUUAUAGUCUCGGGUUGCCUUUGGAGAUGAUAGACGUUUGCAUCGACAAUUGCAUGAUCUACUGGGGAGAUGAUGAAAAGUUAGAAGAAUGUCGAUUCUGCAUGAAGCCACGUUUCAAACCGCAAGGACGAGGAUGUAAUAGGGUACCGUACCAAAGGAUGUGAUACCUACCAGUUACAAACAGAUUGAAAAGAUUGUACCAAUCUGAGCAGACUGCUGGAGGGAUGAGAUGGCAUGCCGAGCAUACUCAGACGGAAGGUGAGAAGAAUCAUCCAUCAGAUGCAAGAGCCUGAAAAUAUUUUAACAAAGUAUAUCCAGAAUUCACUAGCAAUGGCCGAAAUGUGUAUCUUGGAUUAUGCACAGAAGGAUUUAGUCCAUUUGGAAUGUCAGGGAGACAAUAUUCAUCGUGGCCAGUAUUUCUUACGCCAUACAACCUGCCACCGGAGAUGUGCAUGCAACAGAAGUUUCUAUUCUUGACCAUAUUAAUGCUUGGUCCAAAACAUCCAAAAAAAGGUCUCUGAAUGUUUUUCUACAACCACUGAUAAAAGAGUUGGAAGAUUUAUGGUCAACAGGGGUGAAGACGUAUGAUUGCUCCACGAAGACGAAUUUUACGAUGCGAGCGAUGCUUCUGUGGACCAUAAGUGAUUUUCAUGCCUAUGGGAUGUUAUCUGGAUGGACUACACAUGGGAGAUUGUCUUGUCCAUAUUGUAAUGGAAUGACAGAUGCGUUUCAACUGAAGAAUGGUAGGAAGACAAGUUUGUUCGAUUGUCACUGUCAGUUUCUUCCCAUUACCCAUCCGUACCGAAGAAACAAGAAAUUCUUUAGGCACAAAAGGGUUGUGAGAGACACUCCUCCUCCAUAUUUAACCGAAGAAGAAAUUGAAGCGAAAAUCGAUUACUACGGAGCUAACGAAACAGUUCGUUGUGGUGGUAAUUGGCAUGUUCCCGAUAAUAUGUUUGAUUUUUACGGAGUUCAGCACAACUGGCACAAGAAGAGUAUAUUUUGGGAGUUGCCAUAUUGAAAGGAUCUUCUUUUGCGCCACAACCUCGAUGUGAUGCAUAUAGAGAAGAAUUUUUUUGAAAACAUCAUAAAUACAAUAUUGAAUGUCCCAGGUAAGACAAAAAGACAGCAAAAAAUCGAGGUUGGACUUGCCUGAUAUUUGCUCAAGAAGCGGGUUACAUAUAAAAAGCAAUGGACAAGUUCUCGUUCCGUUAUUCGAUGUGAUAUUUUCUCAAGAAGCGGGUUACAUACAAAAAGCAAUGGACAAGUUCCCGUUUCGAUAUUCAGAUUGUCUUCCGAACAAAGGUUUGUGUUGUUCAACUGGGUGGCAUCAGAAGUGAAGUUUCCCGAUGGGUUUGUUUCAAAUCUCUCUAGAUGUGUUGAAAAGGGUCGAAAGUUCUCCGGGAUGAAGAGUCAUGAUUUUCAUGUCCAACAAAUGUAUAUGAAGCACUUGCAGGUAAUAUAUUAAUUACGCAUUAAUUUCUUUGUUGCUCUGUAAUAUACACGCAUAAAUAAUAUGACUAAUAAUGUGUUUAAUUGGAAUAUUGAAGGCAUUUGAGCAUUUUUCAGGGAUAUGAGCACACACAUUCUUAGAGGAUGUCGCAGAACAACUUCAUGAGAACAUUCUCAUCUUCUUGUGCAACUUGGAGAAGAUCUUUCCUCCGGCAUUCUUUGACGUCAUGGAGCAUCUAGCUAUCCACCUCCCGUAUGAGGCAUUUCUUCGUGGACCAGUACAUUACGGAUGGAUGUAUCAGUAUGAGUGGACCAUGAAAUAUUUGAAGGGAAAAGCAAAAAACCUCGCCAAAGUUGAAGGUUCUAUAAUUGCUGGAAGUUUGACAGAAGAAACAUCUCACUUCACAUCGUACUACUUUGCACCAAAAGUACGUACCUAGAAAAGAGCUCCAAGAAAAUACGACGAUGGUGGUUUCGCGCCAACAUAUGCAGUUGCUGGUGUUCCAGACAUCUUUUGCCAGAUAGGGCGAUUCGGUGAAAAAUUGAAAGAGGUUUGGUGGUCAAAUGAUGAAGAUGUCCAUAGUGCACACAAUAUAUUCUACUCCUUUGCGAGGAUCCAUUGAUGCGUUAUUUUGAAAGGUAACAUAUAUUGAAACUUCUAAACACAUAUAUGUAUAAAUUAUAUAAUUUUCAAAUGAUUAAUUAAUAGAAAAUAUGAUUUUACAGCCUAUUUAUUUCUCAAGUCGAAGAAACAAUCUCAGAUAUAUCCAAAAGUGAAGUAGACAAAAGGAAAGAUCACCACUUUAUUAAGUGGUUGAAGGGUCAGGUAUUAACCCAAUUUUGUAAGUUGGCAUAUGAUAUGUAUUCGCCGUUAGUAUGAUUAAUUAAUUUUAACAUUCUCUUUAUUUUUGCAGGUUGAUUAUGACGAUCCAGAUUACCCCUCAUGGUUUCAUGAAUUAAUUCAAGGUCCAGUUGCAAAGGUCACCACAUCACCGAUUUAUUUCACACGAGGCUUUAUUUUUCAUACAAUUGAGUAUGGUAGACAGCGGACGACAAGUAAUAAUGGAAUAUUUGUGAAAGGCGAAACAGAUUUCUACGGGAUCUUGAAGGAGAUUAUUGAAGUGGAAUUCCCAGGGUUAUUGAAGCUGAGAUGUGUCCUCUUCAAAUGUGACUGUUUCGAACCCGUCGUCAACCGAGGUGUUCCAUUUAACAAAUAUGGUGUAGUUGAUGUCAAUGGUGGACGAAGGUACAACAAAUUCGAGCCUUUCAUAUUAGCUUCGCAAGCAGACCAAGUCAGCUUCCUUUCAUACCCUCGGAUGAGAGAAUCAUGAAUCAAUUGGUUUGCCAUUGUCAAAGUCACAACUCGUGGACGAAUAAUCCGUGGAGAAGAACAACUAUUGCAAGAAGAACACAUCAAUGAAGUCGAGGAAUCUGAACAACAAACUGAUGACAUCCUUCUUAUAGAUCCGCAUAAUCGUGAGUACGAAGAUCUUCCCGACGAUAUGACGAACGAAGCUGUUGAAGACGAGUUUAAUGAAAAUGAUGAUGUUUCUAGUGAUGACGAGAAUAUCAAUGAUGUAUCCGAAUGAUGAUGUAAUUUUCUUAAAUAUGAUUUAUUUUAGAGUUAAUGGAUGUGUUUAGUUUGUUUAAUCAUGAAAAUUAAAUUAUAUAAUUUGAUUUUGUGUAACUCAAUUGGGGGUUUGGGGUUUAGAAAGAAGUGAUUGAGUGAUAGAUGAAGUUAAGGAAUUUGGGGUUUGAGGUUUGGGGUUUUGGGUGAUAGGGAUUUGCAUAACUUCCUCGUAAAAUUGUUGUACAAAAACACAGGCCUUGUUAUUUCCUCGUAAAAGAAAACACGGGCCUUGUUAUUUCCUCGUAAUGUUACGACGAUUUUACGACGAAACUGAAAACACGGGCCUUGCUAAUUCGUCGUAAAGAAAAACACGGGCCUUGUUAAUUCCUCGUAAUAUUACGACGAUUUGACGACUAAAUUGAAAACACAUGCCUUGUUAUUUCCUCGUUAAUUUACGAGGAUUUAAUACGACGACUACUUCUAUAAAUAAGCACACCCCUCCCACUCUAAACUUGCGCACAAAAAAAAACUAAACAAUAGUUUAAAAAAAAAUCAAAAAACCAGAAGGGAGUGCACUGUCACCAGAACAGUUCUGAUCAGUUUCAAAUCUAUUUUGAAUUGAUAACAACUGUUCUUGUGCAGGUGUCUUCCUUCAGGUUUUUUUUUUGAAAAUUGAAAAUCUUUUCGUCGUAAAAUACACGUAAACAGAUAUCGUCGUAAAAGAAAACACGAGCUUUGUUAUUUCCUCGCAAAUACCUUGUAAAAAAAACACGGGCCUUGCUAAUUCCCUUAAAUUUAUUUGGGCUUUACGACGAAACGUAAAAAAAAAGAAAACGCGGGCCUUUCUAAUUCCUUGUAAAAUUGCCAUAACUUCACUAGGUUUUUAGGACAAUAUAUAAGUUUAUAUAUACCCGAACCACAUCACUUCCCAUUUCGUAGUCAAUUACUCUCCUCCUUCGAGCAAGGUACUCUCCUCUCUACUUCCUCUCUAAUUUAUAGCUUAGGUGGUUAGUUUAGGGUAAUUAGUUUAGGUGGUUAGUGUAGAUAGGUUUAUGGAAUUUGUAGAUAGGUUUAUGGAAUUUUUUGAUAAUAUAGGAUGAUGAUUUUUAAAUGUUAAUUAAUAAUCUAUAUAUUUAAAUUUUAAUAUGGUUAAUAAUGACAAUUAAUUUUUUUUCCAGAUUGUUCGAAAGAACAAGAAGCGUACACAGCAUUAGAGUCAGAUGUUUGGUGAGCCUGGUACUCGUACAGACUCAUCAUCUUCUUCAGCUCCCAGUUCUUCGUUUCCGGAGAUUGUCCCCGACUCUCAGUCUUCUCAGAGAGUCUCUCAGACGACUCCUUUUGGUGCACCACCGGUUCAGCCACUGGUUCCUCGGUUUGAUGUGCCACCCCCGCAUCAUGAUCAUGUUUCUGAGGAGGCACCUCCUCCACUGGCGCCGGACAAGAUUCAUCCCGAUUUUCUGGUGCCGCCGAGUGCUCCUUAUGCUAUGUACACCGUUGAGGACCUUCUCGCUCAACCAGGCAUAUGAGGUUUAUCACUCUUAGACCCCGACCGACCGGACGGAACUUUGUGGUACGUUACAUUUUUAUUGUGCAAUUGUUUUAUAACAAAAAAUAAUUUAAACACUUUUUUUUUGGUUUUUUCAGGUUUGGGGUUGACGGUUCUGUCGCUCGGAACGUAACCGAAGUGAUCAAAGGCUACUUCCUUCACGCUCAUCCGAACUGGAAAUUGACGCCGAUCUACAUCAGAAAGACGUGGCUCAAAAUGUUUGCCGUAAGUUACUCUAUUAAUCUAUUUUUUAUUGUUAUGAAUUAUUAGUUUUAAACUAAUUACUAAUCUAAUUUUUUUACAGCAAAAAUAUCAUUGGUCCAUAGGGGUGAACGAGAGGGUGAAUAAAGUGUUUGAAGGGAAGACGAAAAAACGAUUGCUGGACACGGUAUCCAACUGGAAGGAUGAUUGGAUCUUGAAGAGUUAUGAGCAGGGAAACCCGCCGAGCUCACCAAGGAUGUGUGGGAUGGCCUCAUCCAUUAUUGGAACCCGCCAUCGUCCAUUAAAGUCUCUAACAGUUGCUCUGCCUCCCGUCUGAUGAAUGAUGAGCAUGGCAACGGGCCGAUGCUUUACACCACGGGUCAAAAACCCCACGCCGGUGUCUGUAUGGAGAUGGUAAAUAUUUUAAUUACUUUUUUUUAAUACAUAUAUUCUAACUUCCUAAAUUAUUUUAGGCCAAAGAGACGGGAGAACUCCCAUCUCUUAAGGAUCUUUAUGAGAGGACCCACAAGAACAAGCCUGAGAAAUUUGUUGAUCCUAGGUCCGAGCAAAUCUACAACGAGGGUGGUUGCUCGAAUUGAAGACCGCCAAAUCCAGCUGACCCAGCAGUCUCCCGAUGAAAUACCGGUCACAUUAUCCACAUCUGAAGUGGAUCAGAUUUACGAGGAGGUAAAUUUUUUUAAAGCUUUAAUUAUUAUUAUUCAUUUAAUCUAAUUUUUAAUUACUAACGUUAUUUUUUUUUAAGGUUGUCCCUAAGAAAAAUGAACGUACAUUGGGGAAUGGUUCCGUCAACGAUGUCCCAAAAGCGACAUCGUCUUAUGGUCAGAGACGGGCUGAUGAAAUCACUGAGCUGUAUUCCGAGUUGAACUCGACGAGGUCUGCGUUUACAGCUCGUAUGACUUCAUUCGAGGGCAUUCUAGACGUUCUGGCGUCUGGAAAUCCUCAGGUGGAGGCCAUGUUGGCACAGAUGCGGACACAAAAUCCCAUUCCAGAGCCAUCUCACAAUGAAGAAGAUGUGAAGAUGAGGAGUCAGAAGUUCUUCGAUGCACUCUGCCCCUCCAACAACCCUUAGCUUUUUUUUCUUCUUCUUUUAUUAUGUAUUAAAAAGUUGAAACUUAAAUAUUUAUAAAAUAUUUUCAUUUUUAUUUAUAUUUUUUAUAUUUUUUUAGAAUUUUGAAAUUAAUUUGAAAAUAAAUUUGAUUUUAUUUUUGUUUUUGUAAAAAAUAAAGAAUCAAAGUAAAUUCGUAGCUAAUUUACGUCUAAUUAACGAGGAAACUGAAAAUUAUUAACGAGAAAACGACGACGAAACUGAGCGUCUACUUCACAAGGAAAUUAUUUACGUGUACUUUACGAGAAUAAAUUUUUUACGUGUACUUUACGAGGAAUAAAUUACGUGCUUUUUACGAGGAAAUGAUUUACGUGUUCUUUACGACGAAUAAGUUUACGUGUCUUUUACGAGAAAAUAUUUAACGUGUCUUUUACGAGGAAAUGUGUUACGUGGCUUUUACGAGGAAAUGUUUGACCCCACUUUACGACGAAACGUUUCCUCGUAAAGUUACGACGAAUUAGCGAAGAAAUAUGCGUUACGAAAAACGUUUAACGACGAAAUGUGUUUCGUAGUCAAUUCCUCGUAAACCCUAUUUUACUACGAAAUAACUACGAAAACUGUCGUCGUUAUAAUUGCGUUUUCUGUUAGUGUAAAUUUUAGAAUAAUUUAGGUUUUCCGCCUAAAUCGAAGUCUUACAGAAGUCUUGUAGGGGAAGUCUUCUCAUGUAGUAGAUCUUUAAAGUAAUUAAUAAAUUUUAUAAAAAAAUAUUUUGAAAGAGAAAAAAAUUGAAAUCAUGUAUUAAUAAACAUUUCUAAAUGAUGGAAAUUUAGUUUUACUAAGAUUGAAUUAUUUUUAACAUAGAUGAGUGAAUGUAGAUUGAGUCAUGAUAGCCUUUGUGUGUUUCCUCCUCGUGAUGGAUUGUCAGUUUCAAAAUUGGUGCAUAGGUCAUCAGGAGUCCAAGCGUCCGAGUUCAGUGGAGGUGGGUCCUCUUGUUUCUUCUCUUCCUAUGGAAGGAGUAUCUUCUCCUCCUACGGAAGGACUAUCUUCUCCUUGGGUCCUCUUGUACUAUUUUAAUAUUUUCACCUAUAAAUACUGAUACAUAUCAAAUUUAUGUAAAUGUAAAAAGUAAACAAAGAUGGUAUAAGAAAACAAAAUUGUUCGAACAAAAAUAAAUAAAGAUCAAAAGUUGUCACCAAUUCAUUGAAAGGUUGUAUUUUGUUUAAGAUAUAAUACCAUAUUAAUAAAACGUUAUUCAUGAUUUGGUAACUUUUUGUGCAAGUUGCAAUAGAUCAGUGUUUUUAUAAGAGCUGAUGGCGAGUGAUCUAAUCAUGCAUGCGCAAACUGAAUUUUUAGGUAUAAGUGAAUAAUUCUUGGGUUUGAGUCUGGUUUUUGAUUGAUGAAAAAUAUUUGUCUAUAAUUAUAUUUUGUAUGUUUGUGUAGCUACUGAUGGAACCAAUAACUAUUUGUAUGAUCAAUUAUGGAAGUUGUGUGCUGGUCCUCUGUUUGAUCCUCAGAAAAUUGGAGAAGAAGUAUAUUAUUUUCCUCAAGGACAUAUAGAGCAGGCAAUAACUUUGUUUUUCAAAAUUAUUAUAUACUUUCACAUGUGUUUUGAUUUUCACAACUUACUAAAAAUUUGAUGGUAUUACCAGCUAGUUACAUCUAUAAACGACGAACUAUGUCAACUAAAACCAGUUUUUAAUAUUCCUUCAAAAAUUCGCUGCAAUGUUUUUAGUAUCAAGCGUAAGGUAUGUUUCAUUGAUUAUUUAUGUUUCCUAUUUAAUGAAUUCACAUGAGCUAUAUCGACUUGAUGUAAAUGAUAUUGCUUUGGGUUCAUUCUUAUGUAUGGUCUUAGGUAGAGACUACUACAGAUGAAAUUUAUGCAGAAAUUUCUUUGUUGCCGGAUACGUCUGUGUGUUGCAAAAUAAGAUUUUAUUAAUUUAAUAACAUAUUUACAGGUCUUCUUAAUAACAAUUUUUAUUAAUAUUAUGGGUUUUUAUUUUUAGGAAGUUGAAUGUGAAAAUACAAAACAUUAAAUGUUUUACUAAGGUCUUAAGUGCUUCUGAUACGAGUAAAAAAGGUGGUUUUGUUUUAAAUAAAAGACAUGCCAUUGAAUGUCUUCCUUCGCUGGUAUUAACACUGACUUACAUUGAAUCAAAUUUUAAAUUUCUAUAUAACAUUUUGUAUCAAAUAUUUUUAGGAUACGUCUCACCUAACGCUAAGUCAAGAGAUAAAUGCUAUAGAUAUUCAUGGUCAUGAAUGGAAAUUUAGACACGCUUCAAAAGGUAACAAAUUUUUAUUAAUCUCAAAAUCUGCAAGUAGUGAUUACUGAUAUUUAUUUUCUUACAAACAAGGACACCACAAAGACAUCUUUUCACAUCUGGUUGGAACGAGUUUGUAAAAGCAAAAAAAUUGGUUGUUGGGGACUCCUUCGUAUUCCUUCUGUAUAUUUUUUUCAUUUUACUCCUAAUUUGAUUCUUGAAAUUUGUAUUUUAAAUAUCUUUUUUAUCAUAGAGGACAUAAUGGAGAAUCACGAGUUGGAAUCAGAAAAGCAGGUCAUCAUCAACGAGAGAACAUACCAUCAUCUGUAAUUUCAAAGGAGAGUAUGCACCAUGGUGUAGUUGCUACUGCAUUGAAUGCUAUUAAAAGCAAAUGUAUGUUCGUUGUCUUCUAUAAGCCAAGGUAAAGAAAAACAUUUUGUUACUGAAUGAAACAUUAUGAAAAUAGUUUAUUCAACAAGUUAUACACUUUUAUUUAUUAUUGAUGCGAUGAUAUCAUGUCGACCUGAUCAGGUCGAGCCAAUUCGUUGUCAACAUCGAUAAAUUUAUAGAUGGAGUGAAUAAGAAAUUUAGUAUAGGCUCUAGAUUUUUGAUGAAGUUUGAAGGGAAGGAUUUUAAUAAAAUAAGAUAAAUCUUGAACAUUUAUUUUACCUUUUCAAAAUAGUGUUACUAACACAAAUGAUUUGACUACACUAGAUACUAUGGAACAAUAUUAAAAGUGAGAGAUUUCUCCACUCAUUGGAAGGAUUCAGAGUGGCGAUGUUUAGAAGUAAGAUAAGACUCGUUUUACUUUAACUAUAUUUUUGUUAGAAUAUACUUUUUAAAAAGUAAUAAACAAUAUCCACUAACUUUAUUUUAUAGGUACAAUGGGAUGAAGUUGCAACAAUUCCAAGACCUGAUAAGGGAUCUCCAUCGAGCCUUUAACACAUUCAUCAGACAUUCUAAAAUCAGGUUUUCUAAAACAUAAACGUCAACGCGAAAUACAUGAGUUUGGUAAGUUAAUGUUGCUCAAUAAGUUAAAACUUCUUUGUGAAUUAUUUAUCAUUAUAUUUCUUCUUGUAGGUUCAAAUAUGUGGGUUCCUACAUUGACCCAAGGCCAAGAAGUUGGACAUUCAAGCAUACAAUCUUCAAUGAGCUACUCAUUCCCUACUACCAUGUCAAACCAAACUACAAUGAGCAAAUGGUUCAAGCAAUGAAAGAAACGUCAACCACCACUGCAACUACUAGCUACAGACUGUUUGGAGUUGAUCUGAAAAUUCCCGCGAAAACAAAGGAUAGCAUAGAACCAAUUAACUCAUAUAAAAAAUUUAAGAUUUCUAAAAUCUUUGAAGAAGAAAAGGUUGAUCACAUCCAAACUAGAAGUCAUACUAAGGUAUGAAAUAUAUCACCAUCUUCUUUUUUUUUUACUUAUUAGUCAAGUUUAAACUUUUUAUUAGGUACAACUAAAGCAUGGGUUCAUAAAAAGACAUGUGUGUGUGUGCGCGCGCGCGCAUCCAUAACUUUAUUCUCAUAUUAGAAUUUAAAUAAAAUUUGAAUAUUUUUAAUAGAUUUAGAUGACUAUAAAGUUCUUAUUCUUUUGAUAUGGUUAUUGAUCAGGUUCGUAUGGAAGGGGUCGUGGAAAGAACUGUGAAUUUAUCUAUUUUUGAUGGAUACAAUCAACUGAUUGAUGAACUCGAAAGACUCUUUGAUAUCAAAGGCAAGUUGCAUAUGCACAAUCAAUGGAAAAUAGUUUUCAUAAAUGCUGAUGGAGAUAUGAUUCUUCUUGGAGACGACCCGUGGCUGUAAGUUUUUUGCUUUCUAUUUUUUUCUUAUUACUUUAGAAAUUUAAUAAGUAUAUUUAUCUUUAUGUAGAAAAUUUUGCAAUACGGCAAAGGAAAUAUUCAUAUGUUCAAAAAACGAUGCCAAGAUAGGUGAUGCAGAUAACAAAUUCUCCGAAGGUGACCCAACAGUAACAACAACAAUCUUACCACCAGAUGUCAACAACAAUUAAUUAAAGAGAGCUUUGAUUUUAGAAAGUAAAAGUUACUUAUUUUAUAAUAUAUUAAGAUAAGACUUGGGAAUGUGUGUAACUUAAAACUCAAAAGUGGAGUAUAUAUUAUGGAGUUUCUUGGCAUUUGAUGAUUGAUGUUUUAUCUGGCGGUUGAAGUUUCUUAAAUGAAACAAAAAUCUUUUGUUUUUGUUUUUUUUCUUAAAUAUUUUGUUGACAUGUUAAGUAUUAUGUGUGUUCUCUUACCCACGUGUGCUUGAAGAUAUAAUUUUACACACAAAUUGUUCAAAGAGAGGAAGCUUAAGAAACAGUGGGAAGCCAGAAAUUUUUUAUUUAGAACAAUUUUUAUUACACUUUUUUCGUUAGAUAUCUCUCUCAACGCACCAAUUUUAUGUUAAUAAAGAAUUUUCUCUCUCCUCGGUAAAAGGUGACUCUUAAGAGGAUUAUGGUUUGGUCGCCACCUACCGAAGGUGUGUCCUCUCGCCACCAUUGAGAAAUCUCUAAGAUGGUAGGAGGAAGUGCAUCCUCUCAUCUCUAUCCCUUCCCCCCUCUUCAGAUUUCUCUCAUGUUAAUGCUGCCCUUUGUGUGUUUCCUCCUCGUGAUGGAUUGUCAGUUUCAAAAUUGGUGCAUAGGUCAUCAGGAGUUCGAGCGUCCGAGUUCAGUGGAGGUGGGUCCUCUUGUUUCUUCUCCUCCUACGGAAGGAGUAUCUUCUCCUCCUACGGAAGGAGUAUCUUCUCCUUGGGUUUCUCUUUUGGUAUCUAAGAAAGUCAGCUGUGACGCUACCAUCAGUAACUUUCCUGUAGAACCAUAUACCUCAGCUCCGCCUGGAGUUGCUUCGGCUCAACCUCAGCUCCUACUAGAGUUCCUCCCAAUGAAUCGCAAAUUGGAGUCGAUUCUUCUGGUGGUAAACCAACAUUUAAGACAUCUGCUGCGAAGCCGAUGGCUUCUAUUGCUCUUAGAAUUUUGAGGUAUUCUGAAGUAAUCAAUGAAUCAUUAUUAUUGGAGGAAAUUGGGACUCCUUCUCAGCAUAUCUCGGGGGGCCAUUUCGUUCAAUCUCUGAUGAAAAUUUAGAGGAAGCAAAGGAAGAGUUUCGAGACAUUUUGUUUGCAAGGUUUCAUGGUGAAGCUCCGGAUAUAGGCAGGAAUAUUGACAUUUUUAAUGUCAUUUGGAGUCGCCCAGGUACGAUAAUAUUUUUCCAUCUUCUUCUACUCAUAGUUAGUAGCCUAUGAACUCAAGCUCAAGUGUUAGCGAGAAGUGUUUGGAUCAUAGUGAGAAUUACAAUAUACCUAGCACCAUGGUCCCCUGAGUUCUCACCAGAGGACCACAAAUAACCUCAAUUGUGGUGUAAGUGGAGCUUAGAGGGGUAUCUUAUAUCCUCUUCAAUAAGUCUAAAUCCACUCGCCACAGCAGCUGGACAACCAGUUUCUUUUGCACCUGAGACUAAAAUAAAUAGAUAAACUUUGAGGUUUCUAUUAUGUGGGUUCGUUUGGAUCUCCAAUCGAGCUACCAAAGAGGAUCGUCUUUGGUUUUUCAAACUGACGAAAGGUGGAUAUCUUUGUUGCCCAGCCAUGGCUCCCGAGGAAAUGUGAUUAUUGUAGUAAAAUUGGAAAAUGUGACUAGGAGAUGCUCUGCUAAACCUCUCGACUCAGCUCGACAGACUAGGACUUCAAGGAUGUCAAAAAGCAAAGAUAAAAGUUUCAAGAGGCAGUCGAGGUCAGGAAGGUCUGCAAGGAAGUCAACAACUGAAAAAGACUCUAGUGCAUCCUGAAGUGGCAAUUGAGCAAUCUUAGAUGAUGCUGGACUGGAAAUAGAUAAAGAGCUAGAAGAAACAAGUUAUGAAGCUGCUAUUUAUAGUGAUAAAAUCGCAGAGGGUGGAUAUAUUUCUUCUGCUUCAGAAGCUAUUGGGGUCAAAAUCGGUCAUUUCGAGAUCAGCGGCCAAGAUUACGUUAGAUCAAUAAAGGAAAAUCCACUAAAUUCUAAGGGCCGGAAAUGCUGAGAUAACUAAUCCAACAAAGGAAAAUCCACCUCUUAAUCGAAUGGUGGCCCCACCUCAAGCCACCUCUUAAUCCACAUUUUUAGCAUGACGAUUUAAAGCUAAAACAAUCACAUGCAUGAGCACAGAUCGAAAAUCAUGGAUGGUGAUUCCAAAUUGGAAUGCUUCGAGGCACCAAGUGAAAGAAAAUGAAGUAAUUGAUUUAUCUAUGCGGUCAACAUGCUAAUCCAUGAUGGCUUACGAUCCAACUGCUUGGAUUAGACUUGUGAGACCCACAAUUUCUUAGACAAAUUGCUUAUCCAGAUUGACCCUGUGAUGGACCUAUAUGGACCGGACCAACGAACCACGAGUUGGAUUGACAACUCUAGAUAUCAACUUAAAUAAACUUAGAUGUGGCAUACAUUGUUAGAUGUUAUUUUAUAUAACUCAGUAUUACGGACUUGGUGAGCUUUGAAAUAACUUCAUUUGUAUUAUCUACUAACUAGAUUAACAAUUGUUCGGUUUGAAAGGUUAAUUGUUGUUUGACAUUACUAGGACACACUCAGUAGAGUCUACUAAGUAUAUUACCAUGUAAUAAGAUUGGUCCAUUCAAAUAAGUUAAAUGCUAUAUUGAUAGAUACACACAGUCAAACUUUAUUUAUACUGGUACAGUGUUUUACCACAUCUAACCAAACAUGUAAAAGUUAACAAUGCCUAAUUUGUAGCAUCUAAUCAGACAUGAAUUAGUCAACGGUAACUUACUUCGUAGAAGCUAAACAAGUAAUGAUCAGUUAACUACAACUAUUUCAUAUUUUUUUUAUCAGAAAAGCAAAUAACGAUUUCGUAGUUACUGAUUAGCUAUCUUGGCGUUUAGUGUGUAAACGCCAAUUACUCUUGAUACAAUACGCAUAACAAACUAACAGGUCCAAUGCUUAUUACUAUUCAACAUGCUAUUUCUUGUUUUAAGGAAAAUUGCUCUGAUCCACAGUGAGAAUCGUAAAAUGUCAAAGCUUCUUUAUCUUAAGGUAAAGGUAAAAAAAAAAAAAAAGAGACCAACAAAACAAAACCAGGACUUGUUAGUAAAAAAGUUCAUUUAAAAAUCCAGACUUCGAGUUUUAUAAUCCACAAAUAAAUGAAAUGAUCACACACGCCUAACUAUGCGUAUCUAGGCCAACACAUAUGAAUGUACCUUCUUUAUAGACCGACUCUCCUAGGAUAUCAAAUGAGAUGAAGAUUUGCAAAGCAUCAAACUUAAGAGAACACUCUACUCUUAGCUAUCCUCUUGGCUUCGGCUUCAGUCAUAUAUCGAACUCCAUUCUCACGUAACCACUUCUCGCCUCUGCUCAGACCCUCCUUUACUUGCUUCUCUUUCAUCUUCAGAAGUGUUAGCCCCUCGCUUAGUUUAGGGAAGAACCCUUCCGGUCUAACACACCACCCCCUGAAAACCCCAUAUAGAACCUCCAUGUCCUCUCUAAACCUUUCGACUCCAUCAUCAGAAAACUUCACAUUCGCCAUCAAGAUGCUGUUGAAGAACAGCUUGUCUAUCUCUGAGGCUAGACUCCUCCACAUAGCUGUAAAGUCUGCUUUGUUUAGAUUUUCUUGUAUUAUCGACGUUUUGCCUUGUAAGUAGUCUAGAGCCCCGACUAGUGCCCUCGACACCGUCCACUCUUUGUCUCUCUUCUCCUGCCAUUGCUUUCUGUUUUUAAUGUACUCUCGAGUCCGAGCAUCAAGGCCUCUGAAGACCACCACAGACAACUUGUUAAUCCACUCUAGCCUGAACUUCUCCAGCUUCUCAAACUCUUCUCCGAAAAUACCUUCAGAAGGUUCUGUAAAGUUCUCCUGUCCCGGAGCUUCCUGUGGAUUGUCCUGUCCACUUCCCAUUUCGAGGAAAAAGACAUCCUCACACCACUCAUCCAAGACUGAUUCAAUAUAGUGACCAGCAUUGAUAGAGUUUGAGACCUUGAUUAGAUCGUUAUUUUCGGUUAAAGCAGUUAGUCCUUCAGCCUCUUGGCACCUGAGAAGGAGGCAAUCCAAGAACUUCUGGAUUGUUGACGAGGCUGCCAGUCUCAGGAAGCUUGCCCUCAAGUAAAUGGCAGGCACUGAUUUAGAUCGUUCUAUGAUUGAUGACAAGUGCUGCAGAAGGAUGCUGGAAACAAUUGGUGGUCUGUAAACGUUUGAAGUGGAGAUGAGUUCGUCUUGCACCUUCACCGUCCAGUUUCUAUCAUUAUCCAUCUCUGCCUUUAACUUGACGAGCCUCUCAUCUAGCUCUAUCUCUGCCCAUAUAUCGAGCCAAUCAGGUCUGUCACAGAAAACUGAAAGAGAGGAGAUUCUCAGAAGAUUCCCAUCUUCUUGAAGCGAAAGUAUUCCUGACUGAGAUACCAGAGACUGAGCUCGCUUAUCAAAAGAGAUCAUCAGGUCAAUGAGAUGGAGCCACGAAACCUUAGCCUCAGAACUAAGAUCAGGUUCGUUUAGCUGACCAACAUAAGUAGGGAAUAUCUCUUUCACCAAGUACAAAGACAAUGAGCUCACCAUAGCCGAAACCCACUCUUCUCUGCAACUGUACCCAGCUAGCUUUGCUUUAUCAACAAGCGGUUGUAGUAACUCAUCCAUGGAGUCCACAUAAUCCCUUGUGAUUUUAUACACAAGUGCAAAAAUGAAUUCAGGCUUCUCGCUCCAUUUUGCAAAAUGUCGCUGAGAUGCAACAGUCAGAGGGUUAACGAGCUCUUCAAUAGCCCAGAGUGGCUGGUGGAAAAGAACAUUUUCACCCUUAUGGCUCCCAAGCUGCCGCGACUUUCUUUGCAGCUGCAGACCCUGCAAGCUACACAGAGCAUGGAAGUUUCCACAGUACUGACUUUUGAGGUUCCCUUCCAUGUUGAAAAGCGGAUUUUGGAUAUCAUCAGACUUAGAAUCAAGGCUCGAUGAAGUUAAGUUAGAAAGCUGAGGUGGCCAUCCAAGAGAAGUAAGCAACGCUCUGUAAUCAGCGAUCGCUUGAGGUCUCAGCAUCGCUAAAGCUCUAUCCACUCUAUGAUCAACUGCAGAAACAAGACGUCCCCAGCGAGGAUGCCUCUUUGCAACUAAACUCAGUAUCUCUUCUGUCUUUUGAAGUGUUUUGAUAGCGUGUAGACGCACUUCCUGAGGUCAGUAGCAUUUACAACAUUACACACUACAUAAAGAAACUAAACUUUUAUACAGAAGAAUCUGGCUGAAGACAGAGUACGUACUUCAAAACCACUGGACCGAGAUGUUGGCAAGUUUUUAUUCAAAGAAGACAUGACAGCAUCCUCUAUAUCACCAACUAAAGUAUCUAGCUUUAGUGCAGUCUCUGAAAAAUAAGAGAAACAUCUUGAAAGACUAAAAGUGACAAAGAAGGAACACCAAAAAGGAAAAAAAAAACUUUACCAGCAUAAGCCCGCACAGACUCAACUUGUGCUACUUCUUUAGCCAGUGAUGGAAGCUCCUCCCCAGCUACAUGCUCCCUCGUCUCCUCCUCCCCCUUUCCGCCAUCUGAAUGAAUAAGACAGACAAAAGACUCAAACUUUGGCAGAGAUCUAAUUGACUACAACAUUUCUCGUGAUGAGAUCAUACGAACCUGACGCGGAGCGAGACGAAGAGAGAUCAGCUAAUUUGGCAUUGACUCCGAUGAGUAGACCGCCGAUGCGAUCGGAGAACGAAGCGUACGAAGCUAAACCGGACUCGAGCUGACGGUUCAGCCCGGCUAAUCUCUGAUCCAAUUCGGAAAUCUCGGUUUCCAAUUCGGAGACCAGAGCGGGUGAUUGGGAGAGAUCCGCGGCGUCUCUGAACCUGUCAUCGAGGAAGCUAAAGACUGAAGCGGAGAAGCUCGAGACCUGAGGAAGUGGCUUGAUCGCGUCCAUUCGCGGUUCGCAUUGAGAGGUAUGAGAAUUUCGUUAGAAGAGGAUACUGAGUCAAUGUCUCGGAGUCGUCACGAGUUGAGCCGGGCUACUCGGAUGAAUGGGCCUUCUUAGUUGGCCCAUCUUGGUUGCUUUUUUAUAAUAGAUGCCCAUCUAAGUUUAUGUGAACGUUACAAUAACACUCGGAAGUGUGCAGUUAGCGUGAAAUUGAUGGAGCUGGAACACUCAUUCGGAAAAUGGAAACUGAUUGGUUGGUUCACUACCGAGAAGUUUUGAAUUGUUCUCAAGUAGGAAUUAUCAUACCCAGGCAGAAGGGAGAUUAGUCUUCCAAAAAAAAAGUAAAGAAGCAGACCAAGAUCAUAAUCAUCUCAAUUUUACAAGAGAAUUAUUAAGAUAGAAAAUGAAGCAUCUUAUGAUGGGUGAAAAGCUGGUAACAAAACCGUACCUAUAGGAGUUGGGUAGAUAGAUAUCUUUGAUUUGUUGCAAGAACCACUACCCACACAUGAAAUUUAUAUCAAGAUCGAAUUGGAGGGACAUGACAUUUUACCCGUUAAAUUUGAUUCGAUUCGAUCCAAAAAACCUGGAUAUCCGUAAACUUUCGAAAAGCAAAUAGUAAAAAUCAAUAUCCGUUAAAAUCAAAGAAAAUCACAAAUCAAAGCAAAUAUCCUCUUUUCUCCGGCAGAUAUAUAAAUACAUGUAUAUAUUGAUUAUGCUUAGAGUUUUAAAUGUAUAAGUUUAUAUAAUUAUUAUUCUAACAUAUGAUUUGAUAAAUUUUAUUCACAUUAUACUUAUAAAAGUAUUAAAUAAAAAAACAUGAAAAUUAAGAUUUUUUCUUAAGUUUUGUCUUACUAUUAUUGUAAACUAAGUUUAAAAUUUACAAAACAUGUACCUUCACUACUAUUUUCAUUUUCAUUUUAUAUAUCACGUCAAAAAAAUUUAAAGAACAAAUUUGUGUCAAAUUUUCUAGAUUAUUUAUAUUGAGAAAAACAGAUGAGAUAUCCGCAAGUAUUCGUAAAUAUCCGUAAAUAUUCAUAUAUUUUUGGAUAUCUAUUUUUCCAAAGCAAAGCAAAUAAAAAAAUCAGAUAUCCAUAACAUAUGAAACAAAUCACAAAUACUGAAAAUUCUGUUAGUAUUUGAUCCGUGCCCACCCCUACCUAAAACUGCAUCAGUGUGAAAAUCCUCUUAUCACCUAAAAAAAAGUUGAGAUGGCUGACUUUAGAAUUAAAUAAAGGACCUACCGGACUAAGGGUUCACACGACCAAGUUUUCACAGUGGGAGCAUCCAUUAGUUCAUCAAAAAGGAGGGCUAUGACUUUGUGUCAAUUGUCGUGGCCUGAACAAGGUGAGAAAUAAGAAUAAAUAUACCUUGCCACCUAUUGAUGGGCUAGUGGACAAGCUAUAUAAAUCAUACUGUUGGUUCUCAAAGAUCGGUGUUGCGUCAAAGUAUAAUUAUAUUCAUAUAGUUGAGGAGAAUGCAAGGAAAACGACAUUUUGAACACAAUAUGACCAUUAUGAGUUCAUGAUAAUGUCUUUUGGACUGAAAAACGUGCCCACAAAUUUUAAUAAAGUUGAUGAAUAACAUAUUCAUGAAGCAGUUUAUAAGCGUAUAUAUGAAUGUAUUCUAGAAGCAAUAAUGAACACAAUUAGCACCUAAAUACGGUAAUGAUAAGCAUACAAGAAUAAAGGUUGUAUUCAGAACCUUUGUCAGAACCUGAUCGGGAAGGAUAUUAAGUUCAAACGGAUACCGAUAUUUUUGACACGAAUGGGAGUCCCUUGUUUGGUGUAUAUAAUUCACCGAGGUUAUAGGGACAUAGGGUAUGCAUCAAGAUAGCUGUGAAAAAUGAGGUUAAGUUAUCAGACACAUGAUUAAGAGAUAGCAGCAAUAUUUUCUCAUAAGAUAUGGCAAUCAUACCUCUAUUCGAGAAAAGUGUAAGUGUUUAUGGAUUAUAAGAGUAUGAAUAAAUAGCAUAUUCACUAAAGGAUACUUCAGUUUAAAGUAGCACAUAUGGAUGAAGCUAUUAGCGGAUUAUGACAUAUUAGUGUUUUAAUGGUUUUCAACUUAUGUUAUUUAUAGAGUCAAAAUAUGUGUGUUGGUGUCUUUUGGGUGUGUAUGGUGUUUUUACAGGUUUAGUUUUAUUUGAAACAAAAGAAAAUGAAUCGGGUGCAAAAAACCAAAUUAACUGUACAAAACUGUACAGAUGUGUCAUAAGUUUAGCAACAAAUGUAAGACUUCCCUCAGUGCGAUUGAACUCAAUUUUUAACACAAGAUAUAGAAUUGAAUUAAAUUUUCUAUGUCGUUUUGAGGUCAGUUCAUCGGUUAUACCAAAAUUUAUGUACUACUGAAGGUAGUUUGUUUGUCGGUUCAGUAGUAGAAAAAAAUGAAAAUCUUGGUUUUAUUUUCGAUUUGUUUUUGCCUGUAAUUCGACCAGGACGCGCGUGUUUUGGACAUAUAUCUAUUAUUUUGAGCCUUUGUCUAGGCUAAGCUUUAUCUGAUAACAGACUUUUAAGUUUUACAGCUCUGGGAGACGAGAGAUUAUUUCUAAACACAUGUUAUAUCUCUUUUAAUCUAAUUACACAGAAUUUAUUAUUGAUAUUUUGUUCUUUAGUUACAUCUUAGUAGUUUCAUAGUUAGGUUUUCGAGUUUGAAAGGAAUAGCAGAGAAUGAAUGUUUAGAUUUGCUUAAUUAGGGAAUCUUCAUUAUAUUUAUUCACUUGGAUUGCUCUUAUUGCUUGAACAUGAUUGAUCACCUACGUCAUGAUCUUAGGUUAUUUGAAUAGAUCGGUAGUUGAUUUGAUUGCUUGAAAAUAAUCCAUGUGAGAAAAGUUUCCAAAGCCAAUGUGAUUUGAUGUUAUUUUGCUUUGUGAACCUAUCGAAACUCGAACUUAAUGCAUGUUCUCUUAUAUUCAACCGGAGUUAGUUCUCUAUGUUGUUAGACAUAAUGUUUUGAGCUAUGGGAGUGUAAAAAUUAUAUAACUGUGUUUUGAGUCUUAGAAUGGUGCUUCGUUGAUUCCUUGAUAAUUAUAUGCAUUCAUAAUCUGAUUUCAUGCAAUUUUUCUAAUGCUAACUCUUUUAUUUAAGAGAAAAUUUGCUAAAAUGGAAUAAAAAACAACUACAUUGUCCCUUUCCCAUAAAUAUUUUUUUGUUCCAUUUUGGACCUAAGAUAUAUAUAUAUAUAUUCAAUUGUUUAAAUAUGCAUAUGUAUUUUUUUCUUAGCUUUAGGAAAAAAAAAACCUUUUUCGUCAUAGCUUAACUAUAUUCUCGCCAAAGUGGUAUGAGCUGCCAAUAGCCUACAUACUUGUGGUUGUGUUUGAAGGAUCCAAACCUAACCUCCCACUUAAUCUAAUUGAUUAUAUUUGUCUUGAAACUUGGUAUAGAGUGGACCAAUUUCUUGUUCGGGUUUGAAAAUAGUAGUCCGUAUGAAUAUGGCUUCCCGUUUCUCUUCCCUUCAAAAAAGAAUAUAAGGGAUAAAUGUCAAUAAGAAGUGAGCCAACUUCUUAGUGUUAAUACCAUUAGUGUUUGGGUUUCAUGGAACCAUGUCCAAUAAACUCAGUUGAUAGAAAUAAUAAAAUGACAGCCUACAAAGUAAGGAGAAAUCAAUUGAGAGAAAUGAGAAAAGUAGAAAAAAAAGAAAUGAGAUUAAGAUUGUUUGUUUGAUCAGAAAGAUGAAUGAGUAAGAAAAAAUGUGUCCAAUGAUUGAUACCCCAACGUUUCGACUGCGCCUUAAUUUUUUUUAAUUGAGGUCAGUGGUGGUGAAUUUGGAUAUUUUUAAUGAGUUGUGGGCUAAAAGUGGUUAGAUUGCUAAUUUGCGAUUGAAUACAUAGAAUUAACUUCUAAGGUUGAUAUUUUUUUAUGUCGCUUGCAAAAGUUAAUGAUGAGAUGAUGUUCUAAAGAAUAUGUGAGUUCUCAUGUUUUCAAACGUUUUCACCAUAUUUUAAGUUUUUGUUUGUAUGUAUUUGAAGACAAGCAUCAAGUCUGGGAGAAUUGAUAUAUUGGUGUUUUUUAAUAAUUUCUAACCUAUAUUUUUGAGUAUUUUAUCAAGUCAAAGUAUGUCUUUUAGUGUUUCAUAGGUUUAAGUCUAUCUGAAAAAAAAAACUCGACUUGGAUGCCAAAAAGAAAAUGAAGAUGCACAAUUUUGCAGAUGCGUCAUACGUUUAGCAAUAGAUGGAAGACUUUCCACGGUGUGAUUGAACUAAAUUUUUUACACAAGCUAUAGAAUUGAAUUAAAUUUCCGAUACCAGUUUGAGAUCAAUCCAUUGUUAUAUCAAAAUUUAUGUGAAUUUUACUGAAUAUUGCUCUGUUUGCCGGUUUAGUAUGAGAAAAAUGAAAUUUUUUGUUUUCUUUAUUUUUGGUUUGGUUCUGCCUAAAAUUUGACGAGGACGUGUUUUUGACCCAUAUCUCUUAUUUUGAGCCAUUUAGACUAAGUUUUGUUUUUUUAUAAUAGAUUUUUAUGUCUUAGAGCUCUGAGAGACGAGAGAUUUUUUUAUGAAUCCUUGUUAUUUCUCUUUUAAUCUAGUUAUGCAGACUUUAUCAUUGAUCUUGUGUUAUUUGGUUAUGUCUGAGUAUUUUUGUAGUUAGGUUUUACAUUUUCAAAGGAAUUGAAGAGAAUGAAUGUUUAUGAUUGCUUAAUUAAGGAAUCUUCAUUAGAUUUCUUUGCUUGGAUUGUUCUUAUCGCUUGAACUUGAUUGAUCACCUAUUUGAUGAUCUUAAGUUAAUUGAAUGCAGCGAGAGUUGAUUUGAUUGCUAGAAAAUGAUCCAUGUGAGCAAAGUGUCCAUAGCCAACGGGAUUGAUUUUACUGCGCUUUGUGAACCUAUUGAAACUCAAACUUAAUGCAUGCCUUAUCUCUUAGGUUCAACCGGAGUUAGUUCUCUCUAGGUUGUUAGACAUAAUGUUUUGAGCUACGUGAGUGUUUUGAGUCUUAGAAUGGCGCUCAUUGAUUACUUGAUAGUUACAUGCAUUCAUAAUUUGAUUUCAUGCGAUUUCUCUAAUGCCUAACUCUUUUAUUUCAUUGUUUAUAUUUGCAUAUUUAUUUUCUGCUUGACUUAAGGAAAACAAAACCCCUUUUUCGUUUUAGCUUAACUCUAUUUUUGUAUACUUGUUGUGUAACUUUGGUUUCUGUGGAUUUGAUCUUUUCUGUACUACUAUGAUUUGUGUGCACUUGCAGUGUGAUUAAAUGGUUAAAAUUUUAAGCUAUCAGAAUACGACUUGGACAUUGUGUAUUAACCAGUAAAAGCCAAUUAACUGGUCGAUGCACUAAGUAGGCAGAAGGAUGUCUUGGAAGAAAGAAGUUGAUGACCUUGUAGUGGUUUUGGAAAAUCUACGCUUGUGCACAAGCACUGUUAAAACAUGCAGUCAUUCUAAAUUUAGUAGGCAAUGCAGAUUUGUUAUGGAUAAUAUGAGAGACACAUAUAGGGGACAAUGUUGUGCGGGCGCUAUACUGGAAAAGUGGCUGGAUACCACAUUACUGCGAAUGGCACAUGUUUAUUUCGGAAUAGGACAUGUGCCCCGAGUUAAACAACUUCGGCAAGGUAUUUACAUAAAGCUCACCGAUCAAAAAAAUUCUAUGGUAUGAAGAGAGACGUAACUCUAUGGGUAUCAAAUGACAAAUAAGCCAAAUUGUGAGGGUAGAACACCAAAUUACUAUUGAAUAUGUCUAUACCAAAAUGGAAUGGGGUAUCUUUUGAGAAACCUUCCAGAAGAAACCAAAUUCCACAUGAAUAUUCUUUCCUUGUGGUGAAAGGACUUAUGGGAAGUAGGCGUUUUUAUUUUAGUUUCUUUUAAUGUUUAAGUUAAUUUUGUUUUGGGUUUUAGAUUAAGGUUUAAUUUAUGUGAAGUUUGAAACAAGAUUUCUUUUUACAGAAAUUGAAUUAUAUUUUUCUUUACAUGGAAAUAUGACAAAAUUAAAGAUUAUUUGUGGGUGAAAGUUAAGUGCAUGCUAUAGCGGAUGACACUUUUUUGGUUAAAUAUGCCACAUAGUAUAGUAUAAAUUUGAAACGAAUUUAUGGAUAAAUAAGGUUACAUUUUUCAAAAUUUUAAAAUAAAAAGGUCGAAAAUUAUGAGAGCAUACCAAGAAAGAAAGACAUAAUUUGUGGUUUAUUUAUUUUUCUGAGUUCAUGUGUAAUGUUUUAUAUUUGGAAAUUAUAUGCCCAGUAAAAAUGUUAUCUAAACGAGUGAACAUACCAUGUGUAUAUAAACUAAUGUGUCAUUCCUUUUUUUUUUUUACAACAAACAGCUAUUAUAUUACUCAAAUUUGAGGUGGUCUGGAUAACAAGACCAGAAUAUAACAACUAACAAAAUAAAACUCUCUAUGAAAAGACCGAGCAAACUUAGCUAAAGAAUCAUCAAUUCGAUAUUACGCUCUUGGGAUGUGAGAUAUCCUAAAAUCUGAAAACCAUAUCUAAAAAGUAUGUAUCGCCUCCAAUUCUGUUGAUCCAAACUUGAGGUUCCUAUAUCAUUGCAAUUAAAUUUUUGUAAUAUGUCCCAAAAGGUUUGACAUCGCGAAUAUUGAAGCAUGCUCUUUUUUGUCCAUCUUGGUGCUUCUAAUCUGUCAUUAUUUUUUAUAAAAAAAAUAAUAAUGCAUUCUCUUAUAUAUUAUAUAUGUAAUGUCGGUAAAACAUAUUGCGUAGAAAAGUGGCAUGCAAAAAAAAACACACUCACACGAUAAGCAUGUUCCGAAAAAUAGACGCAUGAAAUUAACUAUACUAAAAAUACUUAUAAAAGAAUAUGGAAACAAUCAUCAUAUAUUGGUUAACAUGUUAAUUAACUUUUAAAAAUAAAAAAACACGCUUCAAAAUUCAUCACAUCAUCCUUUACAACUUUUAAUUUCUAUUCGUUAAAUAAUAACUUAAUCUUAUGGAGCUAGUGUUCCGUGUUUUUGUUUUUCUAUUUUAUCUCAUUUCAUUUUAAAAUAGACAGUUAAUACUAUUCUAUUAAGUGAAAUAUUCGUCAUCUGACCUCACAACCCUAUUUUCAAUUUUACGGUUUAGGUUGUUCCCAUUUUGUUUGCUGCUACUACGGAAUGAUAUUUUCGUACAAUAUCUUAACUGAAUUCUAUGUAAUGAUCAAUAAAAGGUUAAAAACAAUCAUCAUAUUUUAUAAUUGAUUUUUCUUUGUUUUUUGCUAAAAUUAUUUUAUAACUGUUUCCAGAUUCUUUUUCCUUUAGUGGAUAUUUUUUUAGUCUCCUUUAUAUAUUUUCUUUGUGAACCUUCGCCACUAAGAAACUAAAACGGAAAUUUUUGUGUAAGCCCAUAUAUGGGAAACUUAAAGAUUCUCAUCAAGAGACAAGAAUGUGAAGCUGAUAGUGAGGCUGCUUUACCAAGCUUGUCUAUAUCUGAUUUGGAGGGAAAGAAACUCGAGAAUACACUCUGGAAAUACUCGACAACUAGGGGCGUUGAUUGCUGAGAUAAAGCAAUUGAUCAGACUACGAUUCAAUCUUUUGUCUCGUGCUCAGGUUUUGAAACAAGGAGAGAUCUCGGUGUUCUCAGCAUGGUUUGCUGUCUUUUAAAGUUGCACAGAGUAGUUUUUUGAGUUUGAGUAGAGAAUUUUGGUAGUGGGCUGAUGUCCAGGCAGAACCUGUUUUAGGGUUUGGGCUUUUUUUGUAGUCAUAUGUUAUAUAAAUAAAAGAAGAAAGUUUAGGAAAAAAAAAAAAAAAAAAGAUUCUCAAGCUUAGCAUGCGAGUAGCCAAAGACUCCCGUACAAUUAUCAUGUUAUUAUCAUGCGAACCACUACUUUUCAGUUAAUUUAAUAUUAUUACACAAAUAUGUAAUGUGUUUAGUACUGAUAUUACACUUUUUGGUAAUUAAGAAAUCGCAGAUAUUACGAGCUUUAGUUAAGUACUAACGUCAACUACUCUACUCUCCAUCUCCCUUUACAAAAACUACUCUCUAUCUCUAUUGUAAUAAAUCCUCCACUUUGUUUCCAAUACAUAUCUGGAACGUUCUUUGUCAAAAAAAUAUCUGGAACGUUAAAUGGAACGUUUUCUCCAAAAAGAAAAUGUUUAGUGGAACGCUGUAAUCGCACCGGCAAAUUUGCAUGCAUGCACAUGCGUCACAUAAAGGCAAAGAGUGUGACGUACACGCGAAUGUAUGUGUAUAUAUGUGCUUAAAUUAAAUUCUAUUAAAGACUUUCAUGUUUAUGUCAAAAAAUGAAUUGCAUGUUUUUAACAAAAAAUCUUGAGCCUCUUACUUUUUUUUGUAUAUAUAGAUAUUACAAAAUGAUAUUCGUUGGAAACUAUUUAUAAAAUAAUAUUUUCGCUUGAAUCUUAUAUACAAUAACAUAGAAGCGAAUAAUUCAGACAGAAACCAUAUGACAAAGAGAUCUCCGUAAUCUUUCUUGGAAUCCAUUGUACUAAAAUCUAAUAAAGUUUAUAACUCCUUCAACUUGGGUUUCUCCACACUAUUAUAAAAUACCUUUUUAUGCUACCUUUGUGUUUGGUUAGGUAUGAUUGCAUACCUGAGUUUUCCUAAAAAAAAACUUGAUCCACCUGACAAAUGACAACUAAUUUUAGAUGAAAGGUUAAGGUGGUAAAACUAAUUAUAGACAGACGGCUUGAUUGUCAUUUUCAUUUUUUCCUGCUUUAAAAACAUUUUUAUAUAUAUUUUUCAAAAUUCUAAUAUAUUUGCUUACAAAACCCCUCAAUAGUUGAAAAUGAAUAUACUUCUUACUUGAAAGGUUUCGGAGUAACGUAUGAUUAACUUAGUUAAAGAUGAAUGUAAUCAUCAGCUAAUGUACUCAAUGAGUUUUCGUAUAAACUUAAAACAUAUAACUAUUUUGAUUAACCAAGUAGAACGAAAAUAUUCACAGUAUAAAAAAAUUUAAAACUAUUACCAUCAUCAUCACUUAAUAAAAUAAAAUAAUAUUAAUAUAUAGUUUUAAAUAUUGUGAAUUGUAGACUAAAUCUUUCUGCUUAUAACUUUAAAAUUUACUAGUUGGAUGUUCGUGUCCGGUAAGAAGUGUAACAGAAACAAGAGUAUUGUCUUUAAUUAACACAUUUUAUUAUUAAUUUAGGGUAUAAGAUAGAAAGCAAGAACAUAUUUUUCAAAUUUGAUUACUACAUUAGGAAGUACACUUAAGAAUUUGAGUGUGUAUAUAUAUACAAUAAUAUAAUGUUAUUAUGGUAACUAAAUUGAAUAUCGUGAGAAAAUUAUAAAAUUUAAUGAAAUUACAUCAUGUAUACACAACUCUUUCCAUCCCUAUACCUAAUUAAACCAAAAAAAUAUAAACGAACUUUAAAAUAAAUAAAAACAGAAAUUAACAGAGUUUUCACAAAAAAAACAGAGUACCUCGUGAUUCCUCGCUGUAUAUUCCAAUAAUUUCACGUGCCCAAGAUCCAAGCUGACCACGCAAUAGUACAAAUUACUGAUUAAUAAAUCACAAAUAUCAAUUUGGAACUUUGUAAUAAUAUACAUUAUUUAUGUACCAAUUUUUAAUCCUCGGAUUAAUGAUAUGAUAAAACAAAAAAGAAAACAUAUUUGGAAGGUGACUUCAAUACUAAGACUACAAGUUGUAAGAUGGGGUUGUUUAGUUGAUGUCAUGGUACGUUUUAUAAUUGUUUGCUACUAAAGUAUUUGUGUCAACUGAAACCCAAACAAUAAUGGCCAUUGACAUGCGGGGAUGCCCCUGAGAUUUGGGAAGCUGUAAGCUAUAUAGUGUAAAAAAAUUAAUAUUUUUUUUACAAAUUUGGAAAUCUAUAUCUAUGUAAUUUUUUUAGAAAAAUUGGAAGAUAAUCAUCCCUGCAAUAAUUUGAAGUCUUGGUAACUAGAAUUUGUAUGCGAUCUCCCUUUCCAAAUUAAUUUGUAUGCGAUCUCCCUUUCCAAAUUUGUAUGCGAUCUCCCUUCUGAAGUAAUCAUCCCUGCAAUAAUUUGAAGUCUUGGUAACUAGCAUUUGGAUUCCUUUCAUUGAAACCCUGUUUCGAAUGUACAAAAAAUUACCACAUUUUAAUAUACACGUUAGUUGAUCAUAUUUAUAUAAGUAUUGUAUCUUGGUUUCUAACCUAUUAAAAGAUAAUGAUAAUGGCUAGCCAGUUUUCUUUUAAUCAAGAACAUAUGUUUAUAUAUAAUUGAUGAUUACUCAUCGUUCAAGAAAAUAAGACUAAUUUGACAAUACAUAAGUUUUGAUUGAACAUACUUCAAGAAAAUUUUACUAUAUUUAAAAUUUCAAAUGCCACACAGAUAUUCAGAGUUUGACAUAUAAUUCAUUAUGUCAUUUGUAUUUUCGUUGUGGUAUGUUAACAUUUGUUAAUUAGUAAUUACCGUGGUGGCAAAAAUACUACUUAUAUUUAGAUUUAAGUUAGGUUUGGACGUUAAUAUCUUGUAUAAUUACAUGAUUUUAGUCAUUAAUUCUUGUACAUUUUGAUCAUAUAGAUUAAGAAUUAAGCAUCUUUAGAAUCCAUAUUGCAUUCAUUGUCCUUAUUAGGUGUUGGAGUGUGCCAUGGAGUGAUUUGAGAUGUUUGGGAGCAUUGUGAUCCAAAAAGGGGUGAAAGAGGAGCAUGGAUGGAGACCUUAGAGAAAUCUUCUGUUGCUAAGAUUUUGUGGAAACACAGCAAAUUGAGUUAGCUUUCUAGUGGAAGUGGUUUCAAGUCAUUUGGAGAUGUAAUGAAGGAGUUAUGAUCAAUUUACUAGAGGCAUAUCCAUCCUGGUCGAGCAUCGCAGAGUGACCUUCCAGAGCGACACCAUAAGGUAGUUCCCAACCCAGAGCGACCCACCUACGUCACUCGCCUUUUCAUCACCUUGGAGGAAAAAAAAAUAGGCUUGGAGCGACCUCUCAGAGCGACUACCUGAGGUCGCUCCCAAGCCAGAGCGACUUCCCGGAGCGACACCACGAAGUCUCUGCGCGUCAUUUCCUCAGUCGAAACUUAUGAUUUUUCAGGGACCUUUUGGUCAUUUAUUUUGACGUUUUACACUUUCUAAACCUAAGUUUAAGGACCUUUUGUAAGGGAAGGAGGCAGAUUAUCUUUUAUCUUUGAGAAAACCACCAAAAACCUCUUGAAAAGUUCAUCUUUUUGAUUCAUUUGAUCAUAUGUUAUCCUGUUGAUUUCUAAUCUAUUAUCUGUAUUUCUCUACAUGAUUAAUCUGAAAUCCAAUAUGGGUUUAAGAGGAAUCAUGAAGAGUAGUGAGUAAUCCACUCUUGAAUUCAUUGGUUAGGGAGAUUAAGGGUGAUUAGGCUAGAUCUAGGAUGUUAUAGUGUAGAUCCUUCUUAUUCCUUGCUAGUAGAGUAUUCAUAAUGCAUCUUCUGAGUUGGCCUCUCAAAAGUUGAUCUUUAGGCAUUUCCCACCCACAAGGUGUUUGAUGAAAUGCCUGAGACAACUCUCCUAAGCUUUUAACAUACUUUACCAAAGACAUUUGUUGUUAAAGGUGUUAAGAUAGCCAAUAGACUUGUUAGUAAUGAUUGCUUUCAUAUUAUUCAACCAAAGACAUUUGAUGUUUGAAAUAUGUUAGUAAAUGAACAUUCAUCUAGACAUAGAGUUUGUUUAAGAUUGUGUCUAAGCUUAAGGUUGAUAGUUUGAUUGAUCAUUUGCCAUCCUUAGUUCGAAACUUGAUCACCCAAGGUCUAAUUCCUAUACCCAUGAGUUCUCUUUUAUCAUAACCAAAAAAAGUCACUUCUUUUAUUGUUUUAUUGUUCUGUUAUUGCAUUCUAUUAUUAGUAGUAGUUUAAAACCAUCCAAAUUAUCGGAUACACUUAGAUUAAGUACGUACUUGCAUUCUCGGUGCUUCGAAUCCCUUAGAAUUGGUUCGAUAUUCACUUAUAUUACAACAUUUGUUUUAGGAGCCUUGAAAACUCUUAACAUCAAAUUGGCGCCGUUGCCAAAUUCUGAGUAGAUUUGAACAAUGAGAUUUAGUCACUUGCUUGAGACUAAGUCAUUUUUAUUUUCUUUUGUUACUGAUUCUCCUUCUUCACCUCCCUUUAACUUUCAGGUGUAUGAACUUGAGGAGCAGGGGUCCAUCAAACCUAGUUCCAAGAGUUGCAAACAUCAGAGCUUUAGAGAGAGAGUGUGCUAGAGCGAGAAGAGAAUAAGAGCAACAUGAUCACUUGCAGAGAUUGGAUAUUGAUAUGGCAGAUCCACCGCAAGGGCCAGAACACCCACAGCGAGCAGCUCGACCCAUUGGCACUUAUGACCGCCCCAACAUUCAUGGUCAUAGACUGGGAAUCCGAGCACCAGCUGUGGCAGCUAACAACUUUGAGAUCAAAUCAGGACUCCUCAACGUGAUCGAGAACAACAAGUAUAAUGGCUCGGCUUUAGAGGACCCAUUUGAUCACUUGGACAGGUUCGACAGCUACUGUGGGUUGUCAAAAACCAAUGGUGUGUCAAAGGACGCCUUAAAGAUCAAGUUAUUCCCUUUAUCUUUGGUGGAUAAGGCACGUCAGUGGGAGAAGUCUCUACCCAGCGGCUCUAUCGCCACUUGGGAUGACUGCAAGAAAGCAUUUUUGAAGAAGUUCUUCUCUACUUCAAGAACUGCUAAGCUGAGAAAUGAGAUUUUCAGCUUUCAACAGAAGAACUUGGAAGGAUUCAGAGAAGCCUGGGAAAGAUUCAAGGACUACCAAGCUCAAUGCCCACACCGUGGUUUCUCUAAGAAAAGCUUGCUGAGCACAUUCUACAGGGGUGCUCUUCCUAAAUACAGAGCCAGAUUAGAUACAGCUAGCAAUGGGUUCUUCUUGGGAAGAACUGAGGAAGAUGCAGAAGAGCUGGUUGACAACAUGGUGAAGAGUGACGCAGUCUACUGUAGAGACCGCGACAGAGGCAGUAGAACUGAUGACAAACAGACGAGAAAGGAACUAAAGGCUCUACAAGAUAAGAUAGCCAUACUCAUUUGUGAUAAAGCUACCCAAGAGCAGCUGCACUUUGUUGGUAACCCAAACCAAGAUGCACCACCUGGGGUCAAUGAGGUUGAGGGUUUGGAAGGUCAAGAAGAGCUGUGUUUCAUCAACAACAAUGGCAGUUGGUACAAGAAAGAGCUCAACUUUCAGUACAACAACUACCAACAGAAAUCUUAUCGUAACAACCAACAGAGUGGUUAUCAGCCUAGGAACAACCAGCAAAGCAACUAUCAGCCUGAGCAAAACCCUCCUCUAGGUUUCUCUAACAAAGGGAAUCAGUCUUUUCAACAACAAGCUAAUCCUUCUACCUCUACUCCUCAGGAAAGCAGUACUGAUGUUCUACUGAAACAGAUCUUGGAGUCUCUGACUAGAAGUGAGAAACAGGUUGGAUAUGAGUUGAAGAACCUUCACUCCAAGAUUGAUGGAAGUUUAUAUAUAUAUUUUUUUAACUUUUUUUUUUUUUUUAGAUGGGGGCCAAGACUUUUCAUAACUUGAGCUAGAGGUUUUUCUACCUAUCCCAAUAAGACAAUUCACUUAAACACAAAGAGUCAUUUCUUUUCCUUUUUCAUUGCUCCCAAAUCAUAAUCACUACACUCACCCCCCACCUAUAGCUAGACAAUAGAAUGCCCAAUCUAGCAAGAAUGAAGAUCAAGAAUUGUCGUUCCCGAUACUCUCAACAUAUGCACAUGUUAGACUUUCUGGUUUGGAACUGAGAUUGAACAGGUUGAGCAUCUGAUUGUAGCAACAACUGAGACCCCUAUUGGUCUCAUCAAGGAUUUCCCUUUGAAGAUUGGAUCUUGCACCAUCCCUAUAGACCUCACUGUCUUGAAGAUGGCAACUGAGAAGAGAGUUCCAUUGAUCCUGGGCACACCAUUCCUUACUACUGUGGGUGCUUGCAUCGAUUUUGCCAACAAGAAGGUCACACUCCUCAAUGUGAACAAAGCUGUCUCUUACCCAAUUCAGUCUCCACUGGAUGUUGAGUAUUGUGGAACCAUCACUUGUGGAGACCCCUCCAUUGAGAAGAUCAAGGAUGCAGUGGUUGUUAGUAAGAAAGAAAGUCUUGAUGGAGAGUCCUCUAAAGAGAUGUGUGAUGAGCACUUGAAAAGUGCUAAAAAGGAGGAGGUGAGUCGAGCCACAAAGGCUGCUCAUGACAAGAAGGCCAUAAGGACUCAUCAACUCCAAGAUGAUCCAAUCAAGCUUCAAGAGCCUCUCUCUCAGGUCCUCACCAUCACUCUUGAAGGUGGGAAGGAUCCUUCUUCUCCACUUUCCACUUGAGGUACCACUCCACCACUUUUCCAUUGUAUAUACCAGUUUUUUCUGUGCAUUUAUCUCUCUUUUAGGUAUCUCUUUCAACUUACUAACACAGAGACUGUGUGAACUAAGUUUGGGGGAGGUACCAAGUAUUUGAUCAUGUUUUCUUUGAUGAUUUUAAGUCUCAUGCAUUGCAUGUACAUACAUAUUUGCAUAGAAAAACCAAAAAAAAAUUAACUACUAAAAAAAAGAGUUUUUGAAAAACACAAAAAGAAGCAUGUAGUUGCAUCUUGCAUCUCUAAGAUUGAGUCUAGAAACAUGCAUAUAGGUUGCAUUCACUUGCAUAGAGAGCAAUGAUUAAAAAUGCCUUAAGGUACUUGUCUGGAAUCCAUCUCUUGUAAAAGCUUGCAUGUUUCGAGCCUUGAAGAGCAAAUCAUUGUACGCAUAAAUUGCUCAUUUUCUUAGAUAAAUUUUGCAUAAUGUUCUUGCUCCUAUUUUUUAGUGUGAGUCACCACAAAAUAUGCAUUUGAAAACAUUUUGCUUCACAUUAGACCAAUUUCACUCACCAAGCCAAAUGAUUGAGAUUAUGUGCUCAUUUGUAAGAAUUCACCUUGUGUGUGUGCGUGUGAAUAAAUGUGAGAGUUGGUUGAAGGUAUUUGUUGGUUGAUGAGCAUUGCCGCUUGUGUAAAGGCAUAAGAGUAUUGAUAGGCCUAGAGAAGCUAGAGUAUAACAAGAAGUUUUUGGCAUUGAGCUCCCACCUUCAAACCUUUCCUCCCUAUGAGUUCUUGAAAAUUCACUUGAGGACAAGUAAAGAACAAGUUUAAGAGAGUUGAUAUCUGAUGUUAGGAGUUUUCAAGGCUCCUAAGACAAAUGUUGUAGUAUAGUGAUUGUCGAACCAGUUCUGAGGGAUAUCAAAGCACUGAGAAUGCAAGUACUCACUUAAUCUAAGUGCAACCAAUGAUUUAGAUGGGUUUUAAGCUAUGGCUAAAACUAGAAAGCAAUAACAGAAUGAUACUUUCUUGACUAAGGGAAAAGAGAACUCAUGGGCAUAGGGAUUAGACCUUAGGUGAUCAAGUUUCGAACUAAGGAUGACAAAUGAUCAAUCAAACUAUCGACCUUAAGCCUAGACACAAUUCUAAGCAAGCUCUAUGUCUAGAUGAAUGCUCAUUUGCUAACAUAUCUCAAACAUCAAAUGUCUUUGGUUGAAUAAUAUGAAAGCAAUCAUUACUAACAAGUCUAUUAGCUAUCUUAGCACCUUUAACAACAAAUGUCUUUGGCAAAGUAUACUAAAAGCCUAGGAGAGUUGUCUCAGGCAUUUCAUCAAACACCUUUUGGGUGGGAAAUGCCUAUUGAUCAACUUUUGAGUGGCCAACUCAGAAGAUGCAUUAUGAAUACUCUACUAGCAAGGAACAAGAAUGAUCUACACUAAAACAUCCUAGAACUAACCUAAUCACCCUUAAUCUCCCUAACCCAUGAAUUCAAAAGGUGAUUACUCACUAAUCUCCAUGAUUCCUCUUAAACCCAUAUUGGAUUUCAGAUUAACCAUGUAGAGAAAUAGAUAAGAAAUCAACAAGAACACAAGAUGAAAGCAAUGAAAUCUGAAUCAAAAGAGGUUUUUUACUAGUUCUUCUCUAGAAAAGAGAUUAUUCUGCCUCCAAUGGCUUACAAAAGUACUUAACUUAGGUUUAGAAAGUGUAAAAACAUCAAAACAAAUGACCAAAAGGCCCCUGAAAUAACAUAAAAAUCGUCCAAGCAAAACACGCGGAGUGACCUAGCAUAGUCGCUCCAGGAGGUCACUCCCGACGCGUUUCUUUGUGUCUCGACCCGUCAAAACGCGAGUGACUUGAGCUGGUCGCUCUGGCUGGUCGCUCUGGCUGGGAGUGACUUGAGCUAGUCGCUCUGGCUGGUCGCUCUGGCUGGGAGCGACCUCGGUAGGUCGCUCUGAGAGGUCACUCUGCGAUGCUCGACCAGGAUGGAUAUGCCUCUAGUAAAUUGAUCAUAACUCCUUCAUUACAUCUCCAAAUGACUUGAAACCACUUCCAUUAGAAAGCUAACUCAAUUUUCUGUGUCUCCACAAAAUCUUAGCAACAGGAGAUUUCUCUAAAGGCUCCAUCCAUGCUCAUCUUUCACCUCCUUUUGGAUCACAAUGCUCCCAAACAUCUCAAAUCACUCCAUGGCACACUCCAACACCUAAUAAGGACAAUGAAUGCAAAAUGCAACCUAGACAUGGCUAAAUCCUAAUCUAUAUGAUGAAAAUGCUCAUGGAUGAAUGGAUAAAACAAUGCAAAUAUGCAAGAUAUCAACUCCCCCAAACUUGUUCUUUUACUUGUCCACAAGUGAACUUUCUAGAACUCAUAGGGAGAGAGGUUGAAGGUGGGAGCACAUAGCCAAAAGAAACACAACUAGCACACUCUCUUAUUACACUCUAGCUUCUCUAGGCCUAUCUUAACUCUUUUUGUUCUUACACUCAUCAUCAAGCAUCCACACAUUCAAAUCAACCAACUCUCACAUUCAUUAAGCACAAAACAUCAGGUGAAUUCUUGCAAAUGGUCAGUUGGUCCAAGUCAUUUGGUUGGGUAAGGGAAGGCUUUUAUUCAAGUGAUUCAAGAGGUUCGAAACAUAUAAUCUUUAAGGUGGUUUACUCUCGAAACAAGUAGCCUUGACAUUGCACAUAAUAUAUCUAAGAAAGGGAUCAACUCAUGCAUACAAUGCUCAAUCUCCAUUGUUCUACCCUUUUCCCAAACAUACAAUUACACAAUCAUUCCCAAAUGUCAAACCCAACUCACAUCUCUCACCAAAAGAUCCUAAGAACAUUAACUCCUUCUCUUUGAAAUCUACAAGGGAUUUUUCACAACCUCAAAACAUUACUUAGCUCCUAACAACUUUGCUAGCCCCCUUUUUCUUUCUUUUUCUUUUCUAUUCAUAUUUUUUUUUUUUUUUUUUUUUAGAUGGGGGCCAAGACUUUUCAUAACUUGAGCUAGAGGUUUUUCUACUUAUCCCAAUAAGACAAUUCACUUAAACACAAAGAGUCAUUUCUUUUCCUUUUUCAUUGCUCCCAAAUCAUAAUCACAACUCUCACCCCCCACCUAUAGCUAGACAAUAGAGUGCCCAAUCUAGCAAGAAUGAAGAUCAAGCAUUGUCGUUCCCGAUACUCUCAACAUUAUGCACAUGUAAGACUUUCCGAAGAAGGCCUCACUCAUCAAACAAUGAAAGCUUAAAAGGAGGGAAGGGUUUUGGGAGUGGUCUACCACUAGAGUUUGUCAAAAUAAGAUUGGUAUAAAGGAUGUGACAACUCAAGUGUGUAUAGCCAUGACUCAGUACACAAGGGACCAUGAGCAAGAAGCAUUAAGUUCAUUCAGUUCAAAUAGGGUUUGUAGUUGGCUUCAAAGACUGAGUUUCAGCAAUCAACAAGUUUCAGGAAGAUUUUUCAAGGCUCGAAACAUACAAGUCUUUUUGAGAGGUGCAAAAGCUACUCAGGUGCAACGUAGUGUUCUUUACAAGGCGUUUAAAAUCAUUGCUCCCAAUACAAGUGAAUGCAACCUAUAUGCUCUAGACUCUCCUAGAAAUGCAAAUGAUGCAAACUAAAUGAUUUUUUUUUUUAUAUAUGCAAAUAGGUAUGCAAUGCAUGACUCAAUGAAACAACAUCAAAGCAAACAUGAUCAAAUACUUGGUACCUCCCCCAAACUUAAAUGACACAGUCUCUGUGUUGUCAAGUAGAGAGAGAUACCCAAAAGAGAAAGCUAAUAUGCAAAAAUGAAAUGGUAUAUACAAGGGAAAGUGGUGGGUUACCAUCUAUGGAGAAUGAGUAGAGGGAGAUGCCCACAGAGACUGUGUGAACUAAGUUUGGGGGAGGUACCAAGUAUUUGAUCAUGUUUUCUUUGAUGAUUUUAAGUCUCAUGCAUUGCAUGUACAUACAUAUUUGCAUAGAAAAACCAAAAAAAAAUUAACUACUAAAAAAAAGAGUUUUUGAAAAACACAAAAAGAAGCAUGUAGUUGCAUCUUGCAUCUCUAAGAUUGAGUCUAGAAACAUGCAUAUAGGUUGCAUUCACUUGCAUAGAGAGCAAUGAUUAAAAAUGCCUUAAGGUACUUGUCUGGAAUCCAUCUCUUGUAAAAGCUUGCAUGUUUCGAGCCUUGAAGAGCAAAUCAUUGUACGCAUAAAUUGCUCAUUUUCUUAGAUAAAUUUUGCAUAAUGUUCUUGCUCCUAUUUUUUAGUGUGAGUCACCACAAAAUAUGCAUUUGAAAACAUUUUGCUUCACAUUAGACCAAUUUCACUCACCAAGCCAAAUGAUUGAGAUUAUGUGCUCAUUUGUAAGAAUUCACCUUGUGUGUGUGCGUGUGAAUAAAUGUGAGAGUUGGUUGAAGGUAUUUGUUGGUUGAUGAGCAUUGCCGCUUGUGUAAAGGCAUAAGAGUAUUGAUAGGCCUAGAGAAGCUAGAGUAUAACAAGAAGUUUUUGGCAUUGAGCUCCCACCUUCAAACCUUUCCUCCCUAUGAGUUCUUGAAAAUUCACUUGAGGACAAGUAAAGAACAAGUUUAAGAGAGUUGAUAUCUGAUGUUAGGAGUUUUCAAGGCUCCUAAGACAAAUGUUGUAGUAUAGUGAUUGUCGAACCAGUUCUGAGGGAUAUCAAAGCACUGAGAAUGCAAGUACUCACUUAAUCUAAGUGCAACCAAUGAUUUAGAUGGGUUUUAAGCUAUGGCUAAAACUAGAAAGCAAUAACAGAAUGAUACUUUCUUGACUAAGGGAAAAGAGAACUCAUGGGCAUAGGGAUUAGACCUUAGGUGAUCAAGUAUCGAACUAAGGAUGACAAAUGAUCAAUCAAACUAUCAACCUUAAGCCUAGACACAAUUCUAAGCAAGCUCUAUGUCUAGAUGAAUGCUCAUUUGCUAACAUAUCUCAAACAUCAAAUGUCUUUGGUUGAAUAAUAUGAAAGCAAUCAUUACUAACAAGUCUAUUAGCUAUCUUAGCAUCUUUAACAACAAAUGUCUUUGGCAAAGUACACUAAAAGCCUAGGAGAGUUGUCUCAGGCAUUUCAUCAAACACAGGGUGGGAAAUGCCUAAAGAUCAACUUUUGAAAGGCCAACUCAGAAGAUGCAUUAUGAAUACUCUACUAGCAAGGAACAAGAAUGAUCUACACUAAAACAUCCUAGAACUAACCUAAUCACCCUUAAUCUCCCUAACCCAUGAAUUCAAAANNNNNNNNNNNNNNNNNNNNNNNNNNNNNNNNNNNNNNNNNNNNNNNNNNNNNNNNNNNNNNNNNNNNNNNNNNNNNNNNNNNNNNNNNNNNNNNNNNNNNNNNNNNNNNNNNNNNNNNNNNNNNNNNNNNNNNNNNNNNNNNNNNNNNNNNNNNNNNNNNNNNNNNNNNNNNNNNNNNNNNNNNNNNNNNNNNNNNNNNNNNNNNNNNNNNNNNNNNNNNNNNNNNNNNNNNNNNNNNNNNNNNNNNNNNNNNNNNNNNNNNNNNNNNNNNNNNNNNNNNNNNNNNNNNNNNNNNNNNNNNNNNNNNNNNNNNNNNNNNNNNNNNNNNNNNNNNNNNNNNNNNNNNNNNNNNNNNNNNNNNNNNNNNNNNNNNNNNNNNNNNNNNNNNNNNNNNNNNNNNNNNNNNNNNNNNNNNNNNNNNNNNNNNNNNNNNNNNNNNNNNNNNNNNNNNNNNNNNNNNNNNNNNNNNNNNNNNNNNNNNNNNNNNNNNNNNNNNNNNNNNNNNNNNNNNNNNNNNNNNNNNNNNNNNNNNNNNNNNNNNNNNNNNNNNNNNNNNNNNNNNNNNNNNNNNNNNNNNNNNNNNNNNNNNNNNNNNNNNNNNNNNNNNNNNNNNNNNNNNNNNNNNNNNNNNNNNNNNNNNNNNNNNNNNNNNNNNNNNNNNNNNNNNNNNNNNNNNNNNNNNNNNNNNNNNNNNNNNNNNNNNNNNNNNNNNNNNNNNNNNNNNNNNNNNNNNNNNNNNNNNNNNNNNNNNNNNNNNNNNNNNNNNNNNNNNNNNNNNNNNNNNNNNNNNNNNNNNNNNNNNNNNNNNNNNNNNNNNNNNNNNNNNNNNNNNNNNNNNNNNNNNNNNNNNNNNNNNNNNNNNNNNNNNNNNNNNNNNNNNNNNNNNNNNNNNNNNNNNNNNNNNNNNNNNNNNNNNNNNNNNGCAUGAAAGCAUCAAUGAUGGGCAUUGUGACUUGAACUUCACUCAUUUGCUUCUCAAAUAGAGCUUUGUACUUCUCUAGCAGCUGCCUCUUGAAUCUACCAGGGAAUGGUAGUUUGGGUUCAUAGGGAGGAGGAACAAAAGAGUUCUCAGUUGCUGGAGCAAGAACUUCACCAUCUUUUACUGUUUUCUUCUCUUCCCCAACCUUUCCUUUACCUUUGGCUUCCACAAUCUUCUCCAAGAUUUCAUCAUUGAUUUUCUCAUCAACAAUCACCACUUCAUCAUCUAAGUUGAUGGCCACCUCUUCACCUAGUUUCUCAGCAUCCCUGGUGAGGGUUGUAGGAGGUAACUGCUUACCACUCCUAAGGGUGAUAGCUUUGGCCUCCUUGGGGUUUUGGUCAGAUUUUCCAGGUAGAGAUCCUUGCUGGCGAGUCUGGUGAGUGUUCAUGGAAGCAAACUGAUUCUCUAAAUUCUUGACUGUAGAAGCAAGAUGUGAGAACUUGUUGUUGAGCUCAUUGUAGCUCCCAUCAAUCUUGGAAUGAAGGUUCUUCAACUCAUAACCAACAUGCUUCUCACUUCUAGUCUGAGACUCCAAGAUUUGUUUCAGCAGGGUGUCAGUGCUGCUCUCUUGAGGAGCAGAGGAACCAGAUGAGGGAUUUUGCGGAGGUUGAUAGCUGCCUUGCUGGUUGUAUCAAGGCGGAUAACCACUCUGUUGGUUGUUGGGAUAGGAUUUCUGUUGGUAGUUGUUGUACUGAAAGUUGGGCUCUUUUUUGUACCAGCUACCAUUGUUGUUGAUGAAACACAGCUCUUCCUGACCUUCCAAACCCUCAACCUCAUGGACAACAGGUGGAUCGUCCUGCUUGGAGUUACCAACAAACUUCAGCUGCUCUUGGGUGGCUUUUUCAGCAAUGAGUAGGUCGAUCUUGUCUUCCAAAGCUUUGAUCUCUUUCCUCGUCUGCUUAUCAUCACCCCUACUGCCUCUGUCGUGAUCUGCACUGUAGACUGCAUCACUCUUCACCAUGUUGUCAACCAGCUCUUCUGCAUCAUCUUCAGUUCUUCCCAAGAAGAACCCAUUGCUAGCUGUAUCCAAUCUGGCUCUGUACUUAGGAAGGGCACCUCUGUAGAAGGUACUGAGCAAGCUCUCCUUAGAGAAACCAUGAUGUGGGCAUUUGGUUUGAUAGCCUUUGAAUCUCUCCCAGGCUUCACUGAAUCCUUCCAAGUUCUUCUGUUGGAAACUGGAGAUCUCAUUUCUCAGCUUAGCAGUUCUUGAGGAUGAGAAGAAUUUCUCCAAGAAUGCUCUCUUGCACUCAUCCCAAGUAGUGAUAGAGUCGCUGGGUAGAGACUUCUCCCACUGACGUGCCUUAUCCCCCAAAGAGAAAGGGAAUAGCUUGAGCUUUAAGGCAUCUUCGGACACACCAUUGGUUUUUGACAACCCACAGUAGCUGUCGAACCUGUCCAAGUGAUCGAAUGGGUCCUCUAAAGCCAAGCCAUGAUAUUUGUUGUUCUCGAUCACGUUGAGGAGUCCUGACUUGACCUCAAAGUUGUUGGCUGCCACAGCCGGUGCUCGGAUUCCCAGUCUAUGACCAUGAAUGUUGGGCCGGUCAUAAGUACCAAUGGGUCGAGCUGCCCGCGGUUGGUGUUCUGCCCCUUGCGGUGGAUCUGCCAUAUCAAUAUCCAAUCUCUGCAAGUGGGCUUGUUGUUCUUCUUCUCUUCUAGCUCUAGCACACUCCCUCUCGAAAGCUCUGAUGUCUGCUACUAUUGGAACUAGGUUUGAUGGACCCCUGCUCCUCAAGUUCAUACACCUGAAAGUGAAAGGUAGGUGAAGAAGAAGAAUCAGUAACAAAACAAAAUUAAAAUGACUUAGUCUCAAGCAAGUGACUAAAUCUCAAUGUUUAAAUCUACUCAGAAUUUGGCAACGGCGCCAAUUUGAUGUUAGGAGUUUUCAAGGCUCCUAAGACAAAUGUUGUAGUAUAGUGAUUGUCGAACCAGUUCUGAGGGAUAUCAAAGCACUGAGAAUGCAAGUACUCACUUAAUCUAAGUGCAACCAAUGAUUUAGAUGGGUUUUAAGCUAUGACUAAAAUUAGAAAGCAAUAACAGAAUGAUACUUUCUUAACUAAGGGAAAAGAGAACUCAUGGGCAUAGGGAUUAGACCUUGGGUGAUCAAGUAUCGAACUAAGGAUGGCAAAUGAUCAAUCAAACUAUCAACCUUAAGCCUAGACACAAUUCUAAGCAAGCUCUAUGUCUAGAUGAAUGCUCAUUUGCUAACAUAUCUCAAACAUCAAAUGUCUUUGGUUGAAUAAUAUGAAAGCAAUCAUUACUAACAAGUCUAUUAGCUAUCUUAGCACCUUUAACAACAAAUGUCUUUGACAAAGUAUACUAAAAGUCUAGGAGAGUUGUCUCAGGCAUUUCAUCAAACACAGGGUGGGAAAUGCCUAAAGAUCAACUUUUGAAAGGCCAACUCAGAAGAUGCAUUAUGAAUACUCUACUAGCAAGGAACAAGAAUGAUCUACACUAAAACAUCCUAGAACUAACCUAAUCACCCAUAAUCUCCCUAACCCAUGAAUUCAAAAGGUGAUUACUCACUAAUCUCCAUGAUUCCUCUUAAACCCAUACUGGAUUUCAGAUUAAUCAUGUAGAGAAAGCUCCAAAUGCAUCCAAAUGUCCCCAAGAACUCCAUGUGGCACUCCAGUACCUAAUAGAGAUUCAUGUAUGCAAAAUGCAACCUAAACAUGCCUAAAUCAUAAUCUCUAUGAUGAAAAUGUUUAUGAAUGAAUGGAUAAAACAAUGCAAAUAUGCAAGAUAUCAAUAUCUUGUAUAAUUACAUGAUUUUAGCCAUUAAUUCUUGUACAUUUUGAUCAUAUAGAUUAAGAAUUAGACAUCUUUAGAGUCCAUAUUGCAUUCAUUGUCCUUAUUAGGUGUUGGAGUGUGCCAUGGAGUGAUUUGAGAUGUUUGGGAGCAUUGUGAUCCAAAAAGGGGUGAAAGAUGAGCAUGUAUGGAGGCCUUAGAGAAAUCUCCUGUUGCUAAGAUUUUGUGGAAACACAGCAAAUUGAGUUAGCUUUCUAGUGGAAUUGGUUUCAAGUCAUUUGGAGAUGUAAUGAAGGAGUUAUGAUCAAUUUACUAGAGACAUAUCCAUCCUGGUCGAGCAUCGCAGAGUGACCUUCCAGAGCGACACCAUAAGGUAGUUCCCAACCCAGAGCGACCCACCUACGUCACUCGCCUUUUCAUCACCUUGGAGGAAAAAAAAAAUAGGCUUGGAGCGACCUCUCAGAGCGACAACCUGAGGUCGCUCCCAAGCCAAAGCGACUUCCCGGAGCGACACCACGAAGUCUCUGUGCGUCAUUUCCUCAGUCGAAACUUAUGAUUUUUCAGGUACCUUUUGGUCAUUUGUUUUGACGUUUUACACUUUCUAAACCUAAGUUUAAGGACCUUUUGUAAGGGAAGGAGGCAGAUUAUAUUUUAUCUUUGAGAAAACCACCAAAAACCUCUUGAAAAGUUCAUCUCUUUAAUUCAUUUGAUCAUAUGUUAUCCUGUUGAUAGGGAAGGAGGCAGAUUAUCUUUUAUCUUUGAGAAAACCACCAAAAACCUCUUGAAAAGUUCAUCUCUUUAAUUCAUUUGAUCAUAUGUUAUCCUGUUGAUUUCUAAUCUAUUAUCUGUAUUUCUCUACAUGAUUAAUCUGAAAUCCAAUAUGGGUUUAAGAGGAAUCAUGAAGAGUAGUGAGUAAUCCACUCUUGAAUUCAUGGGUUAGGAAGAUUAAGGGUGAUUAGGCUAGAUCUAGGAUGUUAUAGUGUAGAUCCUUCUUAUUCCUUGCUAGUAGAGUAUUCAUAAUGCAUCUUCUGAGUUGGCCUCUCAAAAGUUGAUCUUUAGGCAUUUCCCACCCACAAGGUGUUUGAUGAAAUGCCUGAGACAACUCUCCUAAGCUUUUAACAUACUUUACCAAAGACAUUUGUUGUUAAAGGUGUUAAGAUAACCAAUAGACUUGUUAGUAAUGAUUGCUUUCAUAUUAUUCAACCAAAGACAUUUGAUGUUUGAAAUAUGUUAGUAAAUGAACAUUCAUCUAGACAUAGAGUUUGUUUAAGAUUGUAUCUAAGCUUAAGGUUGAUAGUUUAAUUGAUCAUUUGCCAUCCUUAGUUCGAAACUUGAUCACCCAAGGUCUAAUUCCUAUACCUAUGAGUUCUCUUUUAUCAUAACCAAAUAAAGUCACUUCUUUUAUUGUUUUAUUGUUCUGUUAUUGCAUUCUAUUAUUAGUAGUAGUUUAAAACCAUCCAAAUUAUCGGUUGCACUUAAAUUAAGUACAUACUUGCAUUCUCGGUGCUUUGAAUCCCUUAGAAUUGGUUCGACAUUCACUUAUGACAACAUUUGUUUUAGGAGCCUUGAAAACUCUUAACAUCAGACGUUCUACCGCAACCGGUUCGGUUCAAAUUUAAUAAGAUUUUGGUUUUUUAGGGGCAGGAAAUUUGCCCUCAUUGAAUUUUUUUAAGUUUGGUUUGAAUUCUAUUCAAGUUUUUUGGGUUUGGUUCAUAUAUAUUAACACAUCAAAAACUCAACUGAACCCGUUUUAACUCUGGGUUCAGUUCUACAUUAGGUUUCGGUUAUCCUAAUACUUGUUUAUGAAUCAAAAGUACACACUUUAGUUUACAAACUUGGCAAAUUUAAAUAAUUUACACUAAUUCAGGAAUGAUCGUUAAAAGGAAAAAUAUAUAAAAAAACUAAAAUUAGAAAUGCCAACUUUAUAAACGUAAAAGAAAGUUAAACUUUAAAAUAAAGCAACAAUGUUUAAACAAAGUAAUUGUAAUUGUCAAAACAUAAAUACUUUGAUGUUUGACCAAUACCAAAAAUAUAUGUUAAACUAAACAUUUGAGUUAAUUAUUUAUAUAAUAUAUGCUUAUUUAGGUACUCAUAAGAAUCUUAAAGUAUGCUGAAUACUUAUUUGAGAUUUAGUUCAGGUUUGGUAAAAAGUUUUUUGAAGAAAAACACUUUUAAACUUUAAAUAUAGAGUUUUGGAAACUUCAAAAUAUAGUUUAUUUUUGGAGAUGCUCUUAAACUUAGUCCAUUCGUAUAAUACUUUCUUUUACUUAUUUUUUUCUUUACACUUUCUUUUAAUUGAUUAGGUCACUCCAACAUUAGUACAAAAUAAGUAAAUACGAUUGUCAGUGUUAUGUAAAGCUUUUGGAAAAAUAUUACAUCAAAACCGAAGCUUUUGUAGCCUAAAAAACAAAAUUAGAUGUUGGGAAGAAUUUGAUCACCUACACCCGGAAAAUACUUGUGUUUGUUUGUAGUACUAUUAAAUUAAUUUAUAGACCAUUUCUAUUGAUUAUUUUAUCCUUGAAAUAUAGUUUAAUUAUCAUAUCUACAUGAAUUAAAAUAAAAGAAUGUUUGAUUGAUUAUUCCAAAUUUCUAAUUACCAACUGAUUGAUGUAGAUGAUAUGAUAUAAAAAAUACGAGUGAAAGAGAAACCAAAAACAAACUAACUAAUCAAGGAACACUCAAAAUAGAAAAAAAAUACCGAUAUUAUAAAUCUAGUUUCGUUUCAAAUAAAACAAAACCUAUUGAUUAUAUUUGCAUGUUGGUCUGUCCAUUCAUGCAUACAUUAGCAUAUGUAACAUUUCUUGUCAAGUUAAUUGAUUAAUCUUUAAUUAACCCCCACCAGAGAAAUAAUCAGCAGGUAAUUGAUUAAUCUCUAUAUAUUUCGUGGGGUGUUACAUGUUAUCAGUUAUGUUUCAAGACUCACUCGUGAACUGAGAGUCCUUGAGUUUGACUAUAUAUAAUAAUUAAUUAUACUCGUAACUAUCUAUUUCGAAUUUUUUUUUUGAAACCAUUUCAAAUUCAUUUAUUAGUUUAGUUUUUCUCUGAAGAUGGAUUUGUAGCAAACUUGAUGUUUUUAUUGAUGUUACUUUCAAUCAGACACCUAGCCAUAAUUAUUAAAAACAAUACCGAUAUUUUUUUAUCAUCAUUGAUUCCAGAAAUUAAGCAAAUAUGCCAAUAUAUGUGUGGCAAUAUAUGAACAAGCUGAUAAUUUACUUUUUUCAAAAAGGUUAAUAAUUUAGUAUCGUGCAUAUUUCUUUUAUCUGUUAAGUGUUCAGUUUUAACAUUCGUAUCCUCCUAUACUCGUGACCAAAAAAGGAAUUCGCCUACACAAUCAAACAUUCACCACCUUCUAAUGUUAUUUAUUUUUCAAAUAUUAUUUAUUUUCUUAUUCUGAAUGGUGACGGCACGUUAGUGAUAUAGGGAAACAUGAGAAUUUGAAUAGCAAAAGAAAUCAUGUUCAAUUUAACUGAAUAGUAAUAUUAUUAUUUAGUCAGAUAAAGUGGCAACAUUUUCCCUAAUAAUUUUAAAAAAUUUGCUGGUAGAUAAGUGGUAAUUUGGGAUACGAAAUAAAUACUUUUGUACUGAAUUCGAUUUUUCCUAUGAAUAAAGUUGCUGAAAUUUGACAGCUUGGACUUUGGCAAGCAAUUUAUAUAUUAAUCCAGUAACAGAUGAUUUAUCUUUGAAAUUAGUCUGAAGACAUUCUAAAUCAGAUUAGAUAGUUGAAUAUUCAACUCACUCUAUAACAUUAAAUGUGAUUCUUCCAAAAACUCACUUGAUAACCGAUAGGAUAAAAAAAUUAAAAAAGUGAACCUAGCAAGACAAAAAAAUAUCAAUCGCUAAACAAAUUGUGUUGCUAAUUGCCAAUAAAAUAACAGUUUUUCAUUACAAAUUUUGUCGAUUAAAAUCACCUCGGAACAGAAACUAUAUAUUUAGAUAGGAUAUUUAAUAUUUUUUGUUAAAUGAAUAUUCACUUAUUAUAUAGUUCGAUUAGCGGUGGAAUUCGUUUUGGCCGUAAAACCACCACUACUUCCAUCGCAAAAUUUAUGGACAAUUACAAAGAUAUGUUUUGCUAAAAAUCUGUUUUUAUGAAACACAUUGCCUACCAUGAAAAGAUUAAAUAAAAUAAUUAUGUAAAUCCCUUUAUGUUUCUUUUUAUUUUUUGACAAAGGGCUUCCCUUUAUGUUUCUUUACCGUUAAAAUAAACACAAACGCCGAGUUUUAACUAACACUUGAAUUUUAGGAAACAUGCGAUAAGAAACAUAUAUGUAUUUUCUCAUAUUAAAUUAUUCUAUGGAGUCAAAAUGGUUGAAAAUCUUCUUCUUUUUUUGCCAACUUGAUAAUCUUCUAUUUAAACACAAGUUGAAACCGUUCAUGUGUAUUCUUUGAGUUGCACUCCCUUCCACUUCUAUAUUAUUCAUUUCUCUCUCUUUCUCCUGCUCUGAUAAUAUAAAUAGUAUACACCAAAAAGCUUACACAGUUCCUCUCACAUAUCUACAUUGAUCAAGAUCAAUAAACCCUAAGAUUUAUAAAUCUCUUCCAUAUUACAUACAUAAUUAUGUCUAGCCGAAGGUCACGGUCAUCAAGACAAACCGGAGCUUCCAUGAUUAGCGAAGACCAAAUCAACGAUCUUGUCCUCCAGCUUCAUCGUCUUCUCCCCGAACUUGGUAACAACCACAGACGCUCUGGAAAGGUACAAUGAUCGAACCAGUUCUUCAUUCAAAAUUAUUUAUUUUCAAUGAUUAUAUUGUUUUUAUUCUUUCUUUAUUUACUCUAAUUUUUCUCCAUCAAACGAAAGUGAACAGUAUAAUUUUUACUUGUAUAUCUACAUAUUGCAUUCAAAUUAGAGCCUUUAGUAAAUUACAACCAUAGAAUAGCAAAGUCUCGGAGUUUGAUUAUAUGCAGAAUCAAACAAGAAAAGCAGAUAUACUAACUUUUAAACUAUAAAAAUGGUUUAAACACACACACAAACAUGCAUACCUAAUCUUAAAUACCGUGAAUUCGUGAGGACUUCUCACCUUUUUUAAACUUGGUAUACUCAGUGAGAAAAUUAUAUUUACCUUACAAAAAUGAUUUAAUUAUUUUGGAUAAUUCGUGAUUUUCUUAUAAACUAUUUUAUAAACUCACUGUUUAGUAAAAAAAGUUAGAAGGGGUAAAUAUGAUAACACAAUUUUGUUACAUUUCAGGUUUCAGCAUCGAAGGUAUUACAAGAGACAUGUACUUACAUAAGAAACUUGAACAAAGAAGUGGAUGAUCUUAGUGAAAGAUUAUCUCAACUUUUGGAAUCAACUGAUUCAGCUCAAGCUGCGCUCAUCCGAAGUUUGCUUAUGUAGUGCAAUGAAUCACAGAGUUCUUUUUUCUAUAAACUGUCUUUCUCAGUUGUAAUAAUCACCGUGUUAUUGUAUUUUUAAGUGAUGAUCAUUCUGGCCUUUGAGUUCUCUCGUCUAUAAUGUUUUUUUUUCUAUUUAGGGUUUUCUUUGUCAGUUGUUGAACGAACUACGAAGCAACUGGUUGGAUUUAUGUUCACAUUAUUUAAGGCAAACAAGUUUCUCAGAAUUGUCCUUUUCGUCAGACAUCAAGAAUAUGUAUAUAACAAGAGAAUAUAUAUAUAACAAGAGAAUAUAUAUAUUGUUAUAAAUCAUAUCGUGGAUGUCCAUAACCGGUCCGGUUUAUAACCGGCCCAAUGCUAGAAGAGAGAGAGUCUAUGAUUUGUACUCUUUCCAUAUUUGUAUUUUCUUUAUCUAGUCUUUCCAUUAUUCUAUGACGGUGUAAUUCCGAAUGCUUGAAUUGAAAUAGAAAUUGCUUGCUAGGUUAAAUGAUUUAUGCAUUCUCGUCUUGAUAAUGAUCCGGCUAGUAUUGAUAGUUUUCAUACAUUCUCGAAUGAACCCUAAUUGAUGCAUUGCUCGACUGUUUGAUUGCAAUUACAUAUUGAACUCUUAGAAAAUUUUGCUAAGAUUGAAAACGAAUAACCAUUGUAUUGAUUGCAUUGAAACCGUUUGCUAAGAUUGUAGCCGUGCGGCUUGUUUGCAUCAUGCAUGCAUAAUAGUACGAACUGAUAGCAUAUAGAAUCUGAAUGCUAAGAUUGAACAUGUAUGCAUCAUAUACGAAUGACCUAUUUGCAUCAUACCUAGAAUCCAGAUUGCUUAAGCAUAUUGAUUGCAUUCGCUUGAACACUUUUAAAUCUAAAUUAUGAAACAUAUGAUUUCAGAUGUCGAAAAUCAACAACUUGGAUUUUGCUGCCCUAAGUCUCUCUGGAGAUAAUUACUUGCAAUGGGCACUUGAUGCUAAGAUCAUCUUAAAAUCCAAGGGACUCGGUGAAUGUAUCACCGAGGGCAAUAAUGCAAGUGAGAAAGAUAGAUAUGGAGCUAUAUUAAUUAUACGCCAUCAUCUUAUUGAGAGUCUCAAAGAUCAGUAUUUGACUAUUGAGAAUCCUCUAGACCUUUGGACAGAGUUGAAAACGAGAUAUGAUCACCAGAGAACGGUGUUAUUACCAAAGGCUAUGUAUGAUUGGAGGAAUCUCAGAAUCCAGGACUUCAAGUCCGUGGACGAGUAUAACUCGGCCCUGUUUAAGAUAGUUUCUAAAUUGAAACUGUGUGGUGAGGAUAUAACGGAUAAGGAUAUGCUUGAGAAAACCUUUUCCACCUUCCACACAAGCAAUGUGCUGUUACAAAAACAGUACCGUGAGAAGGGCUUCACAACUUAUGCUAAUCUGAUCUCUUGUCUCUUGCUCGCUGAGCAGAACAAUGAACUGUUGAUGAGAAACAGUGAAUUGAGACCUCCUGGAACAAACCUAAUACGUGAGACACAUGCGACCGUAGAGGCUAAGAAAGAGUCGAACCAUGUCCAGAAUGAUAGCCAACACGACUGUGGUCGUGGAAAAUGGCAUGGACGUAGUGGUCAAGACCGAAACUCGUUUAGUCGAGGCCGAGGCAACUCAUAUGGUCGUGGCUCCUAUGGAGGCCGUGGACAUGGCCGAGGCCAUGGUACAUACGAGAUGAUCUUAUGGAUUAUGAAACUUCAGAUUGUUUAAAAGAAUGAAGUUGAAUUCGACAUCUAUGUUUUUGUGUUCUUUGCUUUGUGUUUUCCAUGUUUUGAUUACUUUGAACUUAUUUUAUUAAUGAAUGAAAGUUUUAUAUGAAGUCUCUAAAGUAUCAUUCCGGGUAUAGCCAGUCUCAUAGAAGUCUACGGCCAGGCUAACAUCCUGUUACCUAAGGGUACGCAUCUAGAGAUAUCUGAUGCAUUGUAUUCACCCAGCUCUAAGAGAAGCCUAUUAAGCUUUAAGACAUUUGAAUGAAUGGUUUUCAUAUUGAGACUAAGGGCGAAGGAAACAAAGAGUUCCUUCAGAUCAUAGAGAUCGGCCAAGGCUAUAAGAAAGUCCUUUAAAGACUAUACGUCUUGAUAAUGAUGGUGAGUUCACGUCCCAAGCGUUUAAUGAUUACUGUAUGUCCAUGGUGGUAAGUGUGGAACACUCCGUGGCACAUGUACAUCCUCAGAACGGCUUGGCCGAAUCAUUCAUAAAACGAAUUCAGCUCAUAGCUAGACCAUUGCUUAUGAGGUCUAAGCUUCCGGCCACAGCUUGGGGACAUGUGGUCUUGCACGCGGCCGAACUGAUUCGUAUAAGACCGUCUAGUAAACAUAGAUAUUCCCCAUUACAAUUGCUUACGGGUCAUGAGCCAGACAUAUCCCAUCUUAAGACAUUUGGCUGUGCCGUUUAUGUUCCAAUUGCACCACCACAGAGAACAGAGAUGGGACCUCAAAGGAGGAUGGGGAUAUAUGUUGGAUAUGAUUCCCCCACGAUUAUAAUACCUUGAGCCAACUACGAGUGAUUUAUUUAAGGCCAGGUAUGCGGAUUGUCACUUUGAUGAAUCCGAACAUCCAACAUUAGGGGGGGAUAGCAAUAAUCUGGUAAAAGAGAUUACAUGGAAUCAAACAUCCUUAUUUUGGCAAGAUUCUCGGAUUCAGGAAUGUGAUUUCGAAGUCCAAAAGAUAAUACAUUUACAAAAUCUAGCUAAUCAAUUGCCAGAUUCCUUUGAUGACCCGAAAAGAGUGACUAAGUCAUAUAUACCAGCUGUCUAGACAACGUUUGAAACGUGGUAGACCAAUAGGUUCCAAAGAUAAGAACCCUCGGAAAACUAAGAAAGGUGCAGAUAAUCAAACCGAGGUUGUUGAAACCCUACACACGACCGCGGCCGUCCCUAAAUCCCGAGACUUAGCCGCGGCCGAUCCCAAAACCCUAAUAGUGAUCGCGUCGAUCAUAAGAUCUUAGAUGCGCCGGCCCUGAUGUAUCUAAUCAUGUUUCUUGGGAUGCCAAGAUCCAAGGUACUGAAGGUCCUGAUAAUAAUGAGAUCUCAAUAAAUUAUGUCUUGUCUGGGAUACAAUGGAACAUAAAGAAUGUCAACAUUGAUGAUAUAUUUGCAUGCAAUGUAGCACUUGAAAUCAUGGAUGAUAAUGAGGAUCAUGAACCCACGUCUAUUUAUAAGUGCACUCAACGAUCAGAUUGGAUCAAAUGGAAAGAAGCUAUAAACGUGGAGUUUAACUCUUUAAAGAAGAAAGAUGUCUUUGGACCAAUAGUCUGGACACCAUAUGAUGUUAAACCAGUCGGCUAUAAGUGGGUCUUUGUGAGAAAAAGAAACGAACACGAUGACGUCGUUAGAUAUAAAGCACGGCUUGUUGCCCAAGGAUUCUCACAGAGACCAUGAAUAAAUUAUGAGGAGACGUACUUCCCUGUGGUGGAUGCUACUACUUUUAGAUUCCUAAUAAGUCUAGCUAUAAGAGAAAGCUUAGACUUGCGGUUAAUAGAUGUUGUAACUGCAUACUUAUAUGGGCCACUGGAUAAUGAGAUUUAUAUGAAAGUACCAGAGGGUAUAGAGUUGAAAAACAAAUCGAGUACUCGAGAACAACACUGUAUAAAGUUGAAUAAGUCACUUUAUGGAUUGAAACAAUCAGGUCGAAUGUGGUACAAUAGGCUAAGUGAGUACCUAGAGAGAGAAGGAUACAAGAAUCCGAUCAGCCCUUGUAUCUAUAUAAAGAAAUUCGGCCAGGGCUUUGUGAUUAUAGCAGUGUAUGUUGAUGAUUUGAAUAUCCUAGGAACCUCUGGAUAAAUCUCUCAAACAGUUGAAUAUCUUAAGAAAGAAUUCGAGAUGAAAGAUCUUGGAAAACCAAAGUUUUGUUUGGGAUUACAGCUUGAGUACAUAAGAGAUGGAAUCCUUGUGCAUCAAAUGUCAUAUACAGAAAAGGUACUCAAGAGAUUCAAUAUGGACGAGUCUCACCCAUUGUCUAGCCCCAUGGUCGUGAGGUCCCUCGGCUUGGACACUGAUCCAUUCCGUCCUAAGAUGGGCGAUGAAGAUGUCCUUGGUCCCGAAGUGCCAUAUCUCAGUGCGAUAGGAGCUUCAAUGUAUCUGGCCAGCCACACUCGGCCAGACAUAUGUUUUGCCGUGAACCUACUGUCUAGGUUUAGCUCUUGUCCGACCCCAAGGCACUGGAACGGGAUUAAACAUGUUCUUCGUUACCUGCAAGGAACGAAAGACUUGGGUUUAUUUUAAACUUUCCAUAACAAAGAAGGUUUAGUUGGCUUUGCUUAUGCAGGUUAUCUCUCGGAUCCUCACAAUGCUCGAUCACAGACCGGCUACGUCUUUACUCAUGGUGGUACAGCCAUAUCAUGGCGUUCCAUGAAGCAGACGAUCGCGACCACUUCAUCAAACCACUCGGAAAUCUUGGCUAUUCACGAGGCCAGCCGCGAGUCUGUAUGGUUACGGUCCAUGACCAACCAUAUCCGAGUCGAUUGUGGGAUGACUGAAGGCAAAGACGCACCAACCGUGAUGUAUGAGGAUAAUGCAGCUUGCAUUGCUCAGCUUAAGGAUGGCUACAUCAAAGGAGACCAGACGAAGCACAUAUUGCCUAAGUUCUUCUUCACGAACGAGCUACAGAAAGCCGGCGAGGUCCAAGUAGUCCAAGUGCGUUCCAGCGACAACUCAGCCGACCUGUUCACCAAAUCACUUCCGACUUGCACGUUCAGGAAGCUCACGCAUCAGUUUGGGAUGCGUAUACUGAAAGACCUUCAGUGAUGUUCAGAACAGGGGGAGUAAUACGUGUUGUACUAUUUUUCCUUCACCAUGGUUUUGUAUCACUGGGUUUUCCUGGUAAGGUUUUAAUGAGACAACAUCUAAAGCGUAUUACAAUCCUUGUAUAGUUAUGGCAUCCAAGAGGGAGUGUUAUAAAUCAUAUUGUGGAUGUCCAUAACCGGUCUGGUUCAUAACCGGCCCAAUGCUAGAGGAGAGAGAGUCGGCCACGAUCUAGAGGAGAUAGAGUCGGCCACCUUUACCUUUUCCUUUAUGGUUUAUGAUUUGUACUAUUUUUAUAUUUGUAUUUUCUUUAUCUAGUCUUUCCAUUAUUCUAUGACGGUGUAAUUCUCUAUAUAUAAAGACCUCUUUAUGUUUAUGAAUAUACAGAAACAUACCGAUUCUAUUCUCUAGUUCCAAAACAUAUAUACAGGCAUAUAAAAUUAAAAGGACGCCAAGAAAGUUUGAAACAAAGAAAAAAAAUUAAAAAAUACAGCCGAAUAAAAAGUAUAGUUUGUUAGGAACUAUACCAGUGUCCAGCGACAAAGUUCAUAUAUAUAUAUUUGAUCUAAGCAUGGUUUAGGACCAGAGGGCAAUUUAAACUAAUAUUAUUACAGACACUUUAUUUUCAAAUAUUUCAUAAUUUCAAAACUUGUUCAUAUAUCUAAUAUUCUUGCUCAUAGAAUAUAUCUAAUAUUCUUGCUCAAGAUGAGAGUAUUUAUGUUCACUCAUGCAUCUUUUGUAUAGUUUCAAGGAUUCUUGUGAUUUGUAAAGAGUGGAUUAAAUUCUUGCUUCUUUCAAGAGUUAUAUUGGGGAAAUCAGAGAUUGUUUUUCCUUAAGAGUACUCGGCAACUAAUCAUAUCCGAGUUCUUCAGAGUUUGAUCCGGGUGUAGACAGUUUGAUAUAUAUCUCCGAAAUAGUAUGUUAUUGUUUGGACCACACACACAUUAACACUCAUGCUCUGAGUUUGUGGUUUGCAUCAAAACUCCAUCUAUCUUGAAAAGAAGUUAAAAUGAAAGAAAAAGAAAAGUGUGUUCCCUUCUUCUUUGAUUCACAAUAUGUCCAUUUAGCUAAUUUGGCAUGUUCGUUGAGUAGCAAAACGGAAAUCGCCAUGGAUCGAAGUUUCUAAAUCCGUCUCAUCCAGAAACCACUAUAAACAACACGUCAAUUUAAACCACUUUUGGUUUUGUUUUUCAGACACAAUUAGUACAAUGCUACUUUUUUUUUUGGCUGUAUCUCAGUCAUCGGAAGGAUCAAGACCGAUAAAUGUAGAGUCCCGCUGUGGCUAAACCUUUAUAUAUAUACUGUAUAUGCAUUCAUACAUAGGUAUAAUUAACCAAUACGAUUAUGUAGAGUCCAAUCUAAUUCCUAAACACAACCUCUUAGCUAUGUGGAACCCUACCAUAGUUAUUCCUUUUUUUUUAAACGAUAUUUAUUCAUGAUCUUAAAUCAUACUAUGAAAUGAACAUAAUAGCAGUAUAAAUAUUAGUUUUAGAUCACAAACACCCAUCUAAUUUACAUAAUAAUCACGUACACACAAUUCAAAUAAACAAACCUGUAAUUCGUUUUUCGUGUGAGAAUAUAACAGAGCCGAGUCCGGUAAGUUGAGAACUGCAGGUGUGUGUUAGAUUCUCAUUUCAAAGUGAAGAACGUUGGGAAGCAAAGGAACCGCUUCUACUAACACGUCGGGAAGCAGCGGAUCCGCCGACAAACUCAGGAUCAAUCACAAUCCCCUGAACUUGUUGUCUCCGUCCUCUACGUCCCAACAAGCUUACUCCGCCAUGUCCUGGUGCCACCGGGUCUGUCGCAGGAACAUUGUCAGGAACUGGCAUCUCCGUGGAAUGUCCUGAGAUGCACAAUGAUCCCGACUCGUCUUGUUGCCAAUACACUUCCACCAUUACUCCCCGUGGAUUCUCUGCAUUUUCGGUUCCUGGUAUCCCAACAAAUCUUGCCCCGACCGGUAUCUGUAGAUCGAAUAGGAUAAGCUCUGGUGUUAUAAGUCUCUCUAUCUUUGGAUAUAUGAGUUUAUGAGAUGUAAGUAACUAUACCUCGACGGAUGGGCCAGAUGUUAGUUCGAGAGUGACCAUUGUACCAUCAACAGCAGCGCUUUCAAGUUCAGCUUUUCUUGCUAUGUUCAAGAAGACUUCUUCAAGAGUUGCGAGACCAAGUUGGAUGUCUGAGAUUCCAAACUCGGCUUCUCUGUCUUGCAGCUCAGCGAAAAACCUCUGUAUCAUUGUUAAGGAAAGUAAAUGAGUUUUAAAACUACUUACGCUUAGUUCCACGGUAGAUAGUAAUUCUCUCUAUAAUGCUUACUGUCAGAAGAUUCUCCUUGUCGUGCGGUAUAACAAAAGUCAUGAAGGCUUUGUUUUCUUCUACGGGUUUGACAUUGAGAUGCUGCAAGGAAAAUAUCACAACAGCUCAGAGGGAGCUACUCUAAUUUAACCGCAUUGUAAUGUAGAAACAUGUACAGGCUGCUAAAACAAACUCACAUCUUUGAAGAAUUUCUUCACUGGCUCGCGUGAUUCUGCAGCACCAGCAGCUUCACCAUUGCCGUUGUUUUCUUGGUUGUUGCUUUCAGUGAAGCUGAUGUUAGCAAUGAAGCCUGUGCCGAAGCGGGAUUUCAACCUGAUCGAGGUCCCAAUGCAGCGGAGCCUACCCUUAGCCAUUAUCCCUAUUCGGUCACUUAAAAUAUCAGCUUCCUCCAUCGAAUGUGUCGUUAGUAUAAUGGAGCGACCCUUCUUGGUUUCCUGUAUGAUAUCCCACACGUGUCUCCUUGUGAUCGGGUCCAUACCUGUAGUCUGCGAUCCAUGCAAGGCAAAAAAAGUAAGUUGAACUUAGAUAAACAAAAUGUCAACAGAACAAUUAAGUGUUACAACUUAGAUAGGAAGGUUGAAAGUAACAAACCGGCUCGUCUAGGAAGACAAGCUUGGGAUCACCAAUGAGUGAAACUGCAACACUGAGUCGGCGUUUCAUUCCUCCACUGUAACUUCCUGCUCUGAUUUUCCCUGCUUCUGUCAGUUUUACCUCCGCAAGCGACUUCUCAACCAUCUGCAUGACCGUGAAGAAGCAUUUUAAGCAACAAAGUAGGCACAAUAUUUGUUUUUAUUUGAAAUUAGAAACCAUCUGUUCUGUUUUGAAACUGUUAAAUAAACCAACCAACGCGUUUCUACAAUUUGAGUGACAUACCGGAUUAAUCGAUGCAGGUGGCAACCCUUUGAUGCUAGCAAAGAGGCGGAGGUGUUCUUCACCCGACAAUGCAUCCCAGAGUAUAUCAAACUGUGGAAGCAAUAAUAAAAUGCCAUUAAUCAUUUUAGGCAUAUAUCAAAUCAUCCCAAAGUAUAUCAUUUUAAGCAGAUAGCAGCAGAAAAUGGCCGACCUGAGGACAAACUCCUAUCAUUUUACGGAUGUUGGACAUACCAACAGAGCUUCUUAUUGAAUUCCCAUAGAUGAGUGCUGUUUAAGCCAAUAAAAGAGUUUUCAGUAUGGUGAAAUGCUCAAGACACUAGCUUCCACGAAACAAAAACAAUAAAAAAAAAGUGCAAGCUUCUUACCAUCACCACCAGUAACUGGAUUAAUGCCUGUCAAACAAUUGAUAGUAGUUGUCUUCCCUGCGCCAUUGGGUCCAAGAAGACAGAACAAUUGAUCUUUGGCAAUAUUCAUCCACAGCCCCUGAUUUAUAUUUAUAUUCCAAGAAUUAAGUAAGUAAAAGUUGAAACACAUAUCAUGGGAGACUCUCAUCCUAAAAUGCAAUUGACCAACGUAAAAAGAAUAAGUACCUUGAGAGCGUGAUAAGCAGGCGUUUUCUUGCAUUUGCAGCAUCCAAAAUUCGUAGUCCCAGGAUAAGUCUUUGCAAGACCACGUAUUUGAACUGCAAUGUUCGGAUCCACUAAGCCCUCUAUAGAGUGUUGCUUAACUAAAGUCUCCUCUUCAAGGACAUCUUCGUCAUCUGGGGUAAUAUGAUCCACACGUGGGGCUGAACCAGUACAGCUACAAAUUCCACCUUCUGCUCAGGGCGGAAACGGUUAAUUAGGAUACAUUUUUCUAGUAGAACAUAGGAAACAAGACAGAGGAGAAAUUACCUUCCACUCGGUUGCCACCUCUACCGGUCCAGUAACCAGGUUUCAGAAAGUAAAACACAGAUUUUCUCACACCAGACGCAUUUGGGACAAUAUUGUCAAAGUAGAGAGCCAGAACAAACCACAAGAAGAAUGUCCCAAGAAGCCACAAGUAGAUAUCAUUCUGCCCAAAACCAAAUAAGUAAUGAUCAGAGAACAAUAGGACACAGUUAUUAAAUGGAGUUUAUUGUAAUAGUUGACGUACAAUUGUGAUCACACAAUCAGUGUCAUCGUUGGGUCCGCAUACUGCUCUCUUGCUCCAACUAAUGCCAGGAUCUUGAGGAGUUGAAGUUGCAUCAGAAAGCAUCUUUAGACCCUGAGAAAAGGCAUUGGGUGGGAAGAGUGACCAAAGCGUCCUAAUCGUUUGAGAAUAUUUCUUGGCAUAGGGAAACCCACUUGAUGCUCCAAGCUGCAGAGAUAUAUAUGAUUAGUAACAAAUUGUGCAAUUCGAAGAAACCCACUUGAUCCAUUGAGAACCGAACCUGUGUCACAAAGCCAACCAGGAACACAAAAAAUCCAACAGUUGUCGCUGAAGAUGAUUUGCUGAUAAAAGCUGAUAGCAUGAAUGCUACUCCAAUCUAGCAGCACACACAUAACAGAGAUAUAAAUAACAAAACAGAAAACAUAAGUCGUUAAAUAUAUAAAACGUUAGUCUUCAGUUUUACCAUAUUUAACUGGAAAAGCAUGAAGAGUAGGAAGACAACAGGGAAACUGUUCUUCAAGAAAAAGUCGAACUGAAACAUCAUUCCAAACAGGACAACCAAGAGAGCUGAGACUGUCGUAAGAAUUCCUUCCCAUGUAAGCCAUGACAGCCAAUAAGCAGUGUCAAAAACACCCAUCAUCGUCAUUGCCUGGCGAAGUUUGAGCUCUUUCUCAGUGAUCAAAGAACUGAUUUGAAGAACAAAACCAAACAUGGCAAUGGCAAGGAAGAAAGUCGGCCCAAUUGUGUCCAACGCAACAACGGCUUCGAUAGUUGGAUGUGGAAACUCCUUAAAUCCGACAACCCAGUUAAACUUUGGAUCUGCAGAAACACGUAGUAAAAAAUUCAAAUACUUUGUUCCCAGAACCCAGAAGCACAAAGAUUCAUAGCAUAUGCAUCACACCUCCUAUCAAGGACCUAGCGAUUUCACGCUCAGCAGCAACUUGAAGAGGUAUCUGGAACUUAAAGGUGGGAUCUUCGAACCUUCCCCGAUUCAUCUCAGGAGUUGAAUUUGUUUGGAUACCAUAGCUCAUCACUGUAGCGUUUCUGUCCAUAAAGUGCAAAGCUCCUGGAGUUUGCAACGGAUUCGCCAUGAGCCAUGCAUCUACUUCCAAAGGACUCUUGAAUUGUAGAACCUGAAUCAGAACACAACACACACAAAUGGUCAACACGCACAUUUGGAUUCCACUUUCUUAAACAACACGUAAAGGUUCUCUAUCACAGGACAAAAAAAAAAACACAACUUAACACAUACCUUGUCUUCCGGGAUCGGCCUGCCCGGAUUGUUAGCCCGAAUGGCGUUGACAAUGUCUCUCGCCCUCGGCGAAUCGUUUCCGCUCCACACGAAGUCGUAACAGGGAAGAUUCACGAAGAACUUAUCCUCGCAAGGCGGAAUCGGCGGAGAGACGAGCGCGGAGGGAUCGGUGACGGUCUUGAGGGCGGUGGAGGAAGCGAAGCUCUUCUCCAUAGCCUCCUGGAUACAGAAGAUGAGGAGGAUGAAGAAGAAGGAAGCGUGGGGGAGGUACCAAGUAUUUGAUCAUGUUUUCUUUGAUGAUUUUAAGUCUCAUGCAUUGCACGAAGAGCUGAAGGAACGUGGCGCGCUUGCUCCGCCAUGAGAGAAGAAGGUUUUUGCGGAAAAGAGCCGUGUACUGCUGCCAGAGAAGAGCCAAACCUCUCUGCAACGUCAUAACCGCCGUUUCUCUCUCUCUCUGGGCCCUCUUUCUCUUCCACUCUCUGAUCCGAUUUUAAUUUGAU
rnacentral:lncRNA from 1 species